rnacentral:lncRNA from 1 species
UAGUUGAAUCUUUCGAUCUUAGUUAACGAUCUUGGGCUAGCAGAAGAUCUCUUCAACUACACCUUUCUUCUGCUAUUAUCUACAUGGUAUCAGAGCCAUAGCCACACGUUGGCUUCUGAAGCUUAUUUCAAGAUCGGGUUUGUGGUUGAUUCAACUAGUUUGUCCUAAUGAAUUUAAGUGAUCGCGUUAAUAGACUGGGAAUGGAGUUGUUGAAUCAUUCCAAUUACAAGGUAUGGAAGACUUUUACGGAAUCAUACCUUGUGGGGAGGAUUUGUGGGAUGUUAAUGGGAGUAACACAAGUCCUCUGAAAGACGGAUCGGAGAAUAGUAGUGCAUACAAGAAGUGGAAGCAGAUUAAUGUAAAAGCGGAGUUCAUUUUGAAGAGGUCCAUCUUCUCAUUUAUUUGACCAUAUUAUAAGGUGUAAAUCAGUUCAUGAUAUUUGGAGGACACUCAAUCAGUUAUUCAAUAAGAAGAAUGAAGCCCGGCUACAGAUAUUGGAGAAUGAUUUGUCUAACGCCAAUCAAGGUAAUCUUUCUAUUGCCGAGUCUGUCUUGAGGAUUAAAAAUUUGUGUUCUGAGAUCUCUUUAUUAAUUCCGGAUGAGGAUAUCUCUGAAGCAUGAAUAAGAAGAAAUAUUAUUCGUGGUUUGAAGCCAGAAUAUAUUCCUUUUGUGACAUCGAUUCAAGGAUGGGCUCAACAACCAUAUUCCUUUUGUGAUAUCAAUUCAAGGAUGGGCUCAACAACCAUCUUUGGAGGAAUUUGACAAUUUGUUAUUGUCACAGGAGUUACUAGCCAAACAAUUGGCUAGUGAAUUUGUCAAAGAAAGGGAAGAAAAUGCUCUUGUAGCUGACAAGAGAAAUGUUAGAGGAAAGACAAGAGAUAUGCCUCACUCUCGAUUAUCUAGUGGUUCAAGCUCGCCUGGAAAGAAGGAAGAGUUUUAUGACAAUUAUGGUAAAAGGCCUCUUAGGUGUUAUCGGUGUGGUAAAGUCGGACACAUUAGGAGAUAUUUUCAAGCCACAGAGAGCAACGUGGAUCUAAUGAAAAAAGUUGUUGAAGAAGAGGAAGGAUGGGAACGAUGCUUAGAAGCUGAGAGUCGAGCAAUAAAUACAGUGGCUUCAAUAAAUUUGGAAAGAGAUUGGAUCAGAUCUAAUACAAUCCAUAAUGUAGAGCAAGAAGGUCCUGAUAAGAAUCAAGAGGCUACUGAAUACAUUCAGACUGGAUACGUGGUAGCUGCUAUCGAGGAAAUCAAAGCAGCAAAUCUUGAAAUUGGACGUAAAAGUCUAAACGUGAAAGAUGUUGAAGUAGAUUCUGAGGAGACAAUUUCUGAAAAUCAAUAUGCCAGUGAUGACAUUAUCGGAGAAAGCAUUAAGGGAGAUAUAGUGAAAGUUGAAGUCUUAGAUCAGUCAUCCAUCAUAUCAAGGUCAAUCAUUGGCUCAGAGCAAAUAUUGGAAGUUGAUGAAAAAGUUAAAGAUAUAAUGAACGAUGAAGCCCCAAUUUCAUAUGGAGAGAUAUACAAUAUGAUUAAAGAGCUAGAAAUGAAAUCUAGUGGUGGAUUCUUUUAUGAUACUAAGGAUUCACAGAAAAUUAAUGAUCAGAUCAUCAUCGAAUCAAAUAAGGAGGCUACUACUGAUAAAAUAUUCUUAUAUUAUGGAGUUGCUUUAGAAAGAGUAAGUUCUAAAAUCUUGAAUCCUAGAGCUCUAAAUUUUUCCAUCCCAUGUGUGUCUCCAGGUAAUCAAGUUGUGGGGGAGGUCAUAGAAAGGGAGAGUUCGAGAACUCAACAUCAUAAAACACAACAAGGAAAAAUCGAUGACGAAGAAUCUUCAUUAUUGAAAUGAGAAAAAGGAGUUGGGAAAAAACUGCUAAGAGUUUCACCAAGACAUUGUUCAAAGCUUUGUUUGAGUUCUUCCGCGACAAGCUUGGGGUAGCUUCCAAAAAAUCACUUUAAGGGGGAGUGUGAAAGUAUUAAAGUAGAUUUUUUGGAAUCAUAUAUUUCUAGCUAAGUUUCUAGAAUAGUCUAGUGUAGUAUUUAGGAUAAUCAAAUUGAAGAAAUAUCUAUAUUUCUAGGUAUUUCUUGGUAGAAGAAUCUAGAAAGUUAUAGUAUAGUCUCUUUGAUAUUUACUUAGUACUAGUCUAGAUAUUCUAGAGUGUUAGAUAUUUGAGGAUGACAUUUGUAGAAUAGGGUAGAAUACUCUAGAUUUGUAGUAUCUAGAAUCAUCCCUACACAAGUAUAAAUAGGGGAUGACACUAGGCAUUUGUAGCCAACCAAAAUCAAAUCAAUUCAAAUAGUGUUCUUCUAUACCCAAGUUUCCUUUCAAUAUCUUCCUUCACCUUUCUAGCUUCCUCUUCUUAGUUGAAUCUUACGAUCUUAGUUAAAGAUCUUGGGCUAGCAGAAGAUCUCUCCAACUACACCUUUCUUCUGCUAUUCUCUACACAUAUGACAUAUAGUAGUUAUAUAUUACAAACAUUAUUCCUCAGUAUCAAGCAAGUUGUAAUCGUAUUUAGUUGAUAAAUGUGCGCUUUUGUGUAAAACGAAGUUACAUAAUGAAAUUUCCUUUUUCUUUUUCACAGUAAAAAACGUAUGAUGAUCUGAAGUAAUUUUUCUAACUUAUAUAGUGAGACUUUUCAAUGUAAAUUUUAAUUAGUUGGAGGUUAAACUAGUAUUGCAUAAGCUUAGUAAGGGGUAAAAUCCUUACUAUCAAAAGAUUUGAUAUUAUAGGGGUUCAAGACUCCUUCAUAGUUUAUUGUUAAUUAAUGUCUCUAUUUUAAGUCCUGUGAAUGAAAUUGUUUUCAGUAGAGAGUACUUUAUCAAGAGACUCUUUAAUGCAAAUCUGAAUUAAAUGAUUUUCUUAAUCCGCUGCCAUUGACUGUGGAUAUAUUUCAAAUUGCUUUAUCAAUAUGUAUCUAUUUAAAACUAGUUGGAGUCAGUUAUAUGAUUUUUUGUUGAUUUUAAUAGUCUCUACUUUAAGGUAAAUUAGGGGUUGCUAAACGAAUGUAUAUAUGUAUAACAUUUUGUUGAGUCUCAUCCCCUCCAACGCACGGCAAGUUGAGUCUAGUAGCCCCCUCAUUGUGCCAAAUUAUCCUAAUGGUUAUUCCAUCUUUAGCCGCGGGACAACUUGUUGCUCAAACAAGUGCACCUUUAAAUGCUAUAGAUAAUCCUACUAAAAGGAAGCCUAUUGGAAUAGUAUUCAAGAGCAUGAGCUAAGAGCUUUAGUAGAAGAUCCAUUGGAAGCUUUUGAUGGUGAUUUGUGCUUUGACAUAUUUGAUGAAGAUGAUGAAAAUAAAGUCUUGGACUAAUGCUUUGCUAGGCAACAAAGGAAAGGAUUUAUGAAAGAAAGCAUAGUUGGGAUGGUAAAAUAUUUGAGGAGGUUGUUCUAAGACAACUGGGGGUAGCAAAACAGAAGGCGAUAAGGUUCAACUACAUCGACAAGAUUCAAUAGAGCCAAGAGGAAUUGAGGAAACAUCACAUUUUCAAAGAACCAUGGAUCUUGUUGUACAUUCUUGCUUAGUUUAAGUUGUUACUACUUAAGUAUUAGCAUUUGUAAUAUAAUCAUAGACUUUAUUAUAAACUGUGAUAUUCAUAGAAUAUUUAGUUCUUUCUUCUUCUUAUUUUUUACAUGCAUGUUAAUUAGACGAGAGGAUUAGCAAGCUAAGAGAUAGCCCGCCUUGCUUGUACUUUUUAUUUUGAGUUUCGCUUUUAUUACUAUAUGAAGAAACUAACCCUAGGCACCUCUCCUAGUGGAUUUUCUUUAAAAAAUUAAUCACGUGAUUGAGUUUGAACAAAUUAACUAAUUUAUAUAUCUAUAUAUGAUUAUACAUGAAUUAAUUAUACAUGUAUUAUAUAUCCACCGGCUAUUUUUGGUUUAGGUGGUUGGGGAGGCGGUUAUUUAGGUUAAUUCUUCUUUUAAGAAUGCAUUGGCUCCUAAUUCCAGUAUGUCUAAGCCUGUUUUAUUUCGAUAUUAAAUACUUUGUCUUUUAAUGUAUGUGAAGGGUUUCUUAUUUUGUAUGACAUCUCAAUCCAUGUGUAUCUACUUCAAAUUAGUUGGAGUCAGUUAUAUUUUUUUUUUUUUUUAAUAAGCCAUCACCUCAAGUUGUGGUGCCUUUGGUGAGGGGGGUUAGGCUUGACCCCUACCAUGUCUAUUAAUCAACAAGAAGCUUGUUAAGGGGGGACAUGAACCUUACCCCUAACCAACAGAUUCCAUCUUUAAAAGAUCCACAAAAAAGAGUGAGGAAGGAGUAGACUAUACAAUCUCCUUCUCUACCAAAGCAUAUAAUCAUCAACUUACAAAGAAAUUACAUUUUUCAUAUUUUCUCCUCAUAUAAGGUAAUUGCCGCUUGUCUAGUUGAAUUAAACCUUUGAUCUCUUGGGGAAGGGAUUGCCAAGAGUAAAAAAAGGUUUCAUUUCCAAUAGUAGAGGCCAUUUUAGCAAAGUAAUCUGCUACCACAUUAGCUUCUCAGUAGCAAUGGUUGAAAUCGACAUUGGCAUUUCUAACACUAUUGUUAGUGUCAUAAAUAAUCUUCUUCAGAUUGAGAUUAGCGGUUCCUUUGUUUUUCAGCAUGUUGAUGAUCACCAUCGAAUCCAUUUCUAUAACGAAACUAUUAAGACCCUUCUGCACACACCAUUGAGCCCCAAAUCUAGCAGCUGUAGCUUCCGUUUGGUUAUUACUGGUACAAUGCACUACCCUUGAAAAAGCCAUCACAAAGUCUCCAUUGCUGUCUCUAACUAUGCCUCCGAUACCUGCUUGUCCUGUGUCCUUGUUGUAGCUGCCAUCAACAUUAAUUUUGUAGUCCCCUGCUUCUGGUUUUGGCCAAAUAACUUGUUUGACAUUGACCUUAGGUUGCAAUAUUUCAAAAGUGGCACACAUGUUGGGCCAGUUUCCUGUUACGGUUACUAGCGGAAAAGUGAUGUCGAGGGCAGCAGUAAUAUUCCAUAUUAUUUGAUACUCCAUCUUCUUGUGGUACAUCUUGUUUUGACCCCCAAACUUACAAUUUGUCCAUUGUUUCCAGAUUUUCCAACAUAUAAAUAUAGGGGCAAUAUGAAUGAUCAUGUUGUGUACACUACUUUUGUUCGUAACACUCCACCAAUUAUUGAAAAUUCUUCUUGUAGGUCCUGGCAUAUGGAUUAUGCCCAAAGGUGCACCAAUAUAUUUCCAAAUAUGCAUAGCAGCAUUCCCCUGAGUAAAGGUGUGUUGGAUGGAAUCAGUUACAGGAUUUGUGCAGCAGUAGCAUUCAACAUUAGAAUGUUGUCCGAAUCUAGAUACAACCUCACCAAAAGGAAGUUUCCCUUGGCAUAAUCUCCAAGCAAGAAAGAUAACUUAAAUGGUAUAGACUUAUGCCACAGAUUUUGCAUAAAAUAAUUUUUUGGCUUCACAUUUCUCACCAAAUUCCAAGCAGUUUUAUUAGAGUAAUGACCAUCUUCAGUACACAUCCAAAUAGGAUCAUCUUCCUAGUCAUUUGGCCCAAUGUCGAUGUGCAUAAUACUUUGAACAAUGUAGGAAGAACAUGACAAAAUUCUUUCAUCCCAUUUUCGAUCCAACAUGAAAUCUUUAACACAAUAUUUGGCAAAAAGCCCAUCACAGUAGAUAGAAGGAAUAAGAGCCAAAGGGCCGAAAUCUGUCCAUCUAUCCCACCAAAAAUUGCAAUUUCCACUAUUGAUGUUCCAUUUGAUAUGGUUUUCUGCAAUAUUCCUGGCCCAUACAAGACUUUUCCAUCCUUGAGAGUUACCAGACAUCCAUUUCUUUUGAACCAAAUGUUUAUUAGCGCAAUACUUGUUUUUCAAAAAAUCAGCCCAAAUAGUGUUUUUCGUUCUCAAUCUCCACCACCUUUUGAUUGCCAGGGUGUUGGAGAUAUCAACCAGGCUUCUAAUACCUAUACCUCCUUCAUCUUUUGGAUGACAUAAAUUAGUCCAAGAGCUCCAGUGAAACUUUCUCCUCUCAGUAGUAGAACCCCAGUAAAACCUGGCCAUGUGUUUCUCAAUCAUAUUCAGAGUGGUUUUAGGAGGGUUAAGUGUAGAGAGAGUAUAAGUUAGCAGAGAUUGAAGGACACUCUUAAUAAGUACGGAUCUUCCCCCGUACUUGAGCAUCUUACCUUGCCAACCGUUCAUCCUCUUAACUACCUUAGAAAUCAUACCAUCAAAAUAUUCCACUUUUUUUCUACCAUAAUACAGAGGGCAACCCGAAUAAGUAAAAGGAAAUGACUUGUCCAUAUAGCUAGUGCAUUGUCUCAAUCUAUUGAUUCUAUAUGGACUAGUCUUGGGGCAUGUUAAAAAGAAACUCUUGUCGUUGUUGACCUUUUGACCAGAAGCCUUUUCGCAUCUCUUAAUUUGCUUCAUAAUCAUCUUAACUGAAUUUGUAUUACCACUGGAGAAUAUGACAAUGUCAUCUACGUAAGCUAAAUGAUUAAUUUGAAGCCCUCUUUUGUCCAUGGAGAAAGGGAUAAACUUGUUAUCAUUGUUCAAGUUGUUCAGAGAUCUUGAAAGAACCUCAGCUGCUAAGAUAAAAAAGGAAGGGGAUAUGGGAUCCCCUUAUUUGAGCCCUUGAGUGGAAUGGAAAAAUCCUUGUCUGGUACCAUUAUUAGGACUGAGUACCAGACAUUAGAAAUGAGCCUUUUGAUAAGGUCUAUCCAGUCACUACUAAAACCAAAUUUAUGCAGGACAUUUAAAAGAAAGGACCAGGAUAACCUAUCGUAUGCCUUUGCCAUGUCAAGUUUGAUCACCAUAUUUCCUCCCUGAUUAGGUUUAGCAAUAUCAUGAAUGAUCUCUUGGGCAGUCAGUUAUAUGAUUUUUGUUGAUUUUAAUAGUCUCUAUUUUGAGGCAAAUUAGUGGUUGCUAAAUAUAUGUAUAUAUGGAUAACAUCUCAAUAAAAAUGGCAUCCCAGUGCACUAAAGCUUCCGUUAUACGCAGGGUCAGAGGAAGGGCCCAAUUGUGCGCAGCGUUACCUUGCAUUUCUGUUAGAGGAUAUUUUCAAUCAAAAAAAUAUCAAUCUAGUUUGGUUCUGCUAUAUGAAUUUUUUUCGUAUCGUUCCAUUUUGUUGAGUCUUAUAAUGCCAAUGCUAAACAUUUUUGUCUAUUAAGGUAAAUUAGUAAGAUUCUCAUGUAAUGUGUAGUCUAUUAGCUCGAAUAAAAUCUCAGUUUCUUUUUCUGCAACUCUGCUGUUGUUUCUGCGGGUUUUGUUAUCGGUUGUUAUUACUUAUUAGGGUGUUGUACUUCUUAACUUGCGCAACACUUGCUUUCUGAAUGAGGUUUUGCAAUGUUUCAUGCACACGGUGUCUUUGUUUCACCUCAUUGUGUGGAACCAUCAUGCAUUUCCAUGUGAUAGUAAGGACAUUUGUUUCUCAGAAAAAUUUAGGUUUUGUGCACUGACAGUAUACAAAAUAUUCUACAUUAUCAGUAAACUUGACCUGCUAUUGCAGGUUACUCAAAAGUUUGUUUUUUCAAUUUUUAUGGAAAAAAUUGGAUAACCUAAUGUAGCAAGUCAAGUUUACCUAGAGUGUAAAAGUUUUUGUAUACUGACGAUGCACAAGACUUAAACUCUUCUCAGAAUAUCCAUUGUUUUGAGUUACUGAUAUUGAGUGUAUUGGAGUGGCUUUUUUCCUUAGCUGAUCGUCAUUUCUUGCUUUUGUAUACUAGUUGCAGGUUUCACGAGCGCAUUCUGUGUACUUUGCGUUUUUAGAGAGCUUAUUGACUUUUCGUUGGCUUUUGAGAAUGGUUCUAUCGCGCAGUUGAGACUUGUUGAAAAUUUCAGCUGUAUCCUUACUCAUGUCUUGGUUACCUUUUAUAUAUAAUUAACGUCACUCACACUCCUUCUCCAAUUAUGAUAGAGACAACGUUGGAUCAGACCUAAACAUUUAUUUAUUUCCUUCUGAAGUUUACUUUAAUUUUACAUGUUGCAACUGGAAUUGUCGAAACAACAUUCUCAUCAAUGAAAUACAUAGAGAAUACUAGGCGUACUAACAUGGAUGAUGAUGAAAUAUGGUUGUGUUGUCUGUGGUCCUUAACUUUGUGAAAACAACAUGUGUUUGCAUAAGGAUUUAGCCUAAUCUACAAUUAACUAACUUUCCUACUUAGCAAAUUUACUUACUAUUAAUAUAGGAUCUAAGUAAAAUGAAACGGAGAGGGUAUAUGAUAUUUUUAUAAGAGAGAAUUUAGGUAAUAUGAUAUAUAUAUACAUAUAUGUGUGUGUGUGAUAUAGUAUGUACAUGUGUAUGCAUAAGGAUUUAUAGCCUAAUCUAUACAUGGUUUUGCUUUGUUAAGUGCAAAACCAAUAUUUAGUCAUCACUAAAUUAAUAUUAAUAAGUAGCUUCCGGCAAAGAAAACAACUAAUUCUGAGGAUUCUAAAGGAGUAUAGACGUUAAAAUCACCUCGGCUUGUAAUAUAAUUUUCUCAUUUAGCUCUUUAUAACUGUGAUGUAACAAUAUUAUAACUAGAUCUGUUCCCUCUAAUGUUGUAACUACUUUCGAAACAGCACAAGACAAGAUGGAUAGCUAAUUCAAAUGAAAUACACACUACUUAAUCAAAAUCAAUAUAUCUCCGUCCUUGUUAAAAUCAACAGGCUUGAUCAGAUUAAUCAACAUUCUGAAAAAUACUUGUCGAAAACCUAGAAAAAAAAAAAGCGAUCCUACUACAGUAAACAGACUUGGAUUGUCUACAGACUAAUUGUGGCUGGUUCUCACCAGCAAUAACAAACAAUAGUUUAAUUAUAUGCAACGCUAAUGUGAGUUUUGCAGCAAAAUAGACCAUGAGGAGAGCAACAGCUGACAUAUUGCCGGAAUGUCUCCAAAAAAUGGCUGCAAGCCUUUUCGACUCUUCCCAACUUGAAAUUAAUUAUUCUUUUUCAACGCCAUAUGAAAUAGUGGAUAAUAUCAAGGAGAGAUAUAGGGACGGCAAAAUUCAUAAAGAAAACUUUGAAUUAUCAUGGAUAGAUGAUUCUCCUCUAGUUGAUAAGUGGCUUGACAUUGCAAUUAAGAAAAGGUUUAUUUUCCAUUACUGAGUUUUGCAGCCUCCAACACCUGACCAUGAGGAGAGCUACACCUAACGUAUUGCUGGAAUGUCUAAUUCAAAAAAUACUCUGUUUUCUUAGUUAUGAAGAAGCAGCAAAGAUGAGUAUUCUCUCUAAAACAUGGUUGCAAGCCUCGUUAACUCUUCCCAACUUGAAAUUCACUGUUGAUCAUAGCAACGGCAAUAUGAAAAUAGUGGCGUACAAUAUUAUGGAGAGAUAUAGGAAGGGGAAAAUCCCUAUAGAAACAUUUGAAUUAUCAAUGUUUGAAGAAUAUCAGCUGCAGUAACCCAUUCCAGUACGUAGUUAUGAUCAUUGAACUGAAAUUUUAUGUAAAAAUGUGAUGGUGAAUUUCUACUCAUUUAGUUAUUUUUAGUUGAUUUGGUUUGUUGCUGUUCUGACCAUUUGUCAUCUUGGAAAACAAUGAAAAUAUCUAACAUUCCCGUCCCUGCUGGUUUUCUGUAGAUCAAAAAUCAAAACCAGUAUCAUUUAAUGUUACUAUUAAUGUUAAGACUACUUAGGAUGAAAAAUUAUAGUAAAGCUAGUUUCAAGUAACCUUGGAAAAAAAUGUUUGAGAUUGUGUGCUUUUACCGGAAAUUUUUGAUUUGGUAGCUGGAGAACGCAGGGAAAGUGGCUUAUUGACAUCAUGAAGGUUCCCAUGUUAGGAUUAUAGGCCUGGAAUAUAAUAACAUUAUGAAGGCCUGGAAUAUAAUAGCAUCAUGAAGCUUUAGGAUUAUAUGCUACAAGCCACAGUAUGCCAGAAGCUAUUAUAGCUUGGCAAUAUUAUAUUCCAGGAUUCACAAUAUUAUAUUAUAGCAGGAUUAUAGCUUCGCAAUAUUAUCAGGAUUCCAGGCUUGAUCAGACGACUAUCACACCAGUGAUCCGCCUACAGUAAACAGACUUGAUUCAACAUUCUGAAGAAUACUUGUCGAAAACCUAGUCAAAAAAUAGAUCCUAACAAACUUGAUUGGACUUAAUAGAAAACCAUCCCCGUUUAUCUGAUAGUGGCGGACAAUAUUAUGGAGAGAUAUAGGAAGGGGAAAAUCCCUAUAGAAACUUUGAAUUAUCAAAGUUUGAAGAAUAUCAGCUGCAGUUACCCAUUCUAGUACGUAGUUAUGAUCAUUGGACUUAAUAGAAAACCAUCCCCGUUUAUCUGAUAUUAUUAUUAUUUUCCAAUGUUGUUUAGCUAUUAAAUACUUGCUUAAUUUCUAUUAUAUUUGGGAUAGUUGACUGAUGAUUUCUUCCAAAAACAGUCCACAACUUUAAUUAACUAAUAACGUAGAGAAUGUCUCUUGUCCCUAGCAGAACAUUAUUUAAUAGAAAAAAAAAAAUUACCCAUGGGAAGCUGAAUUUUCCAGCAUAUGUGGUCUAUUAAUUAAGCAUCAGUUAACGAAGUCUUAUUUGGAUCGGAAUAUUUUUGUCGAGAAACUAUAUAGCUAGAAAAAAAAAAACCGUUGACACGAGAAUUCACAAAAUUUAUGCAGAAUUGUUGAGUGAUUUGUGUCUGUCUUUUUGAAGACCUUUAAAAUUUGGUUCAGGUAAUAAUGGUGCUUGGUGAAUUGAGGAUUUUCAAGUAAAGAAAGUCAUGAUUUGCAAACGGGUUUGAACAUUAGAAGGGAUUUUGUGGGAAGUUUCAAAAUCCGGGAGAUAAUUGUCAUGGUUAAAACUCAUAUUGAGAUAAUUGUUCAGGGUCUCAAAACCAAACCAAUUAUCCCAUCAAAAAGAGAUAUUUCUAGAGUUAAUUUUCACAAAAGAAUAAAAAUUAAAAAAAAUAAAAAAACAUGAGAUGAAUCAUGACCAAACAGGCUUAUAAUAACUAAGAAGCAGUUUGUGAAUAAAUUUCUGGUUCUCACAAUUCAACAUGGUGCCAAAAGGGAUAAAGAUUCUAAGCUCAAAUUUUACUAUCACCAAGCAACAUAAUAUUCUCACAUGCUUGAUUCAAGAAAAAAAAAAAGAUUAAAUAAGAAGACAUACUUCUAAUUAUUUUCAAAAGGGUUGAUAUUUAUAUUAUUUAUACUUAUUCAAUCAUGUUCAAAAUAACUUGGGCUAAUAUGCGUUGGGUCAAGAUGGACUAAAUAAUGAAUUGUAGCCCAAUUCGCCCAACUUGACCGACCUUUUCUUCUGUACUUUUAAGAAUUACUAACAAAUAUCAGCAACCAAAUAUUUCUAAAGAAAUACAGCAACAAGCACAAAUUCAAGGUACAAGUUCUGUAUUUUAGAAAUUUAAAAAUUUUAUAUGAAGAAAAUAUUUUAUUAUAUACUUUUAUGCAUCCCUUCCUAUAAAGUACAAGCAUAAGGAUUUGUUUAAAACAGUUUUACCUUUCCAACAAAAUAAAGAAUCAUACUACAUAUGAUGAUAUCUUUAAAGUUCUCUUAUAGUGUGCUUAUGCUAUUAGCUAGAAGAAAUAAUAGUUGUUCUUCAGUUAACAUAAACAGAUCUUACAUUUUUUUCUUUUAUAAUAAAAUUAUUACUUUACUUUUAAUUGAAAAAAUAUAAAAUGAAUUAUUCAAACAUACGUAGUAUAUAUUUCCCUCUCGAUUUGCUUAAAUUUUCAUUGCAUAUUAAGUCUAGAUUAAUAUAACAAGAUUUCGAUAAAAGCUUUAAGCAAUUGAUUGAUCAACUUUGAGCAUCAUCAUGAAUUUAUUUGAACUGAUGAUUUGUAAUGGAUUAACUUAGACUAAUUCAAAUUAGCCCAUUAUCAAAAUCACUUUUACCCAAACUCAUCAAACCUCAGGCGAGUUGGAUGGGUCAUUGAGUUUGAACUAAUUUUGUCACUCCUAAGCAAUUGUGUUUAUUCCCUCUUAUUAAUUUUCAAAUAAAGAAAAGGGGUAGUUGAGUAGGGGUUGUUGUCAUGUACUUUUAUAAUUGCACAAGGUUAGAUUUUUUAUGUUUUAUAGUCAAAAGGAAACUUUUUACUUUUCCAUGUGCUAGUCCAGCACUUAAUUCAAAUUUAUUUGGUAACUAAUCAUUUCAACAUAUAAAAAUUAUAUUUAGACAUCUUAACUUUAUUAAAUUGAUCUUAUACAAAUUCUAAUUUUAAAAAGACAUAUCUCGAAUGCACCACCUUUAAAGGUAUUUAGAUGAUAUUUUUAAAAUUAAAAUAUUUUAUAAUAUACAAUUAUAUCGAGUUGAAAUGUCUAGAUAAUCACAAUAAAUAAACUUCUGAUAUACACAAAACUCAACAUGAACCAAAGUUCCAAUUUUAUUAUCACGAGGCAACACUAUUUUCACAUGCUUGAUACAAGAAAAAUGAUUGUCUUAUUGACAACAAGACGUACUUUUAAUAUUUUUAAAUGGCUUGUAGAGACCGUUUAGUUCACUAUAAUAAAUCAACAUUUAAGUAUUUAUUUAAAUUAAGAAAAUGAUUGGUUGGGUGGCUGCUGUCACGUUUACUUUUUAAAAUGGCAUAAAGUAGAAGUUUCACAUUUUAUUUCAUUUGUUAGUGAUGAAAACUCCAAUAAAUGACAAAUUUGUCCGGAUAUUUUUUAUUGCUAUAGCAAAAUAUUAUUAUAAAAAAAUAUAAUCAAAAGUAUGUUUUUUUAAUUUUAUACCUAAACUGAACUAUUAAAUGUGUAAAUUUUACAUGAUUAUCACCAACUAUUUAUCAAACACAUUAAUCGAGGUAUGUUUUCAUAAAUGGUUGCUGAUAAUCUAAUAAGGAAAUUCACGCACAUGUGAUAGUCCAUGUAUGAAACUCAAAAAUUCAGAAUACUUUAAAUGUGUUUUAGAUCAUUAACUCUAAGCUAACAUGAAAAUUGAUUCCAAAGAAAACUUCGUUACUACAAUAAAAUCUUAUAAAUAGAAAAUGGUUGUUAUAGAAAGAUCUAAAUAUACUGAUUGUGAGAUAAUUAUUAAAUAAUUAAAAAGAAAGAGAUACUUAUUACUCUCUACCGCAUUUAAUAAUGAAAGAAUAAUUUAAAAUUUGAGUUGUAAAAUAUAUUUUAAAUAUUUUUAUAGCUAUAGAUUAUUUUAUACAGUGUAAAAUAAGAAUUUUAAAAUUUAAUUAUUAUAAAAUAUCUAAAAUAUUAUAUAGAACAUAGAGUGCUGAGUAAAUUAAAAUGGGGGGACAAAAUUAAUUUUGUAGCUGAAAUUAAUUCACUCUUCAAUAUAAGCAGUGACGAAUUCAAAGUUUUUCUUGAGAGAUUUUAAAUUAUUAAGAAGCAAACAUGUAAAAUUUACAAGAUGAAAAACCGAAAAGAAAAAGAUCAAUCUUAAUCCUUCUGUAUUUUAGUGUUUUUUUUUUUUUGCAGUAUUCUACUUUAUUUUGCACUUUUUAAAGUUCAGAGUUAAAAUUCAUUCAAUUAUAUGUUACUUUAAAAAUAGUCAAGAUUUUUCAAAAGUAUGUAAGGAUUGAGCUACUAAUGUUAUAAUGUAUAUUCAAAAGAUAAACAAAUAGCAUUGCUGAUUUUUUUAGUUCAAAUUUAUAGGUUAGUAAAUGAAAAAGAAAAGGACAAAUGAUGAAUAAAUCAAGUAAGUUUAGUUAGUUUACUUUAAUUUCCGUAUAAAAAAAAAAGUUUAGUUUCCAUCUCUCUAAUGGGAGAGAAAUAUCAUGAAAUUGAAUUAAAAAAAAAUCAUUUAAAUCGAUACAGCUAAAACAACAUUCACGACUAUAAGUUAAAAUUUCUUUAUUUGAUUAAAUUUAAUUUACUUUAUUUUAAGGGAUUUUUUUCUAUUUCAAUUUCAAGUUUAACACUAAUUCACCAUGUUUUGAAAGAGUUUCUUUAAGUUAGUACAUGAAGAGAGAGUUAAAUAAAAAAAAAAAAUGUAGAAAUAAAAAAAUAAAAGACAAAAAAAAAAGAAUAUGUCUAAUAAAUUUGAACAAAAACAAAUUAAAAAAAAAAUGACAUAAAAGAGAAAAAUAAUAAAAAAGAAGAAGAACAAAGAUUUUAGAGCCUUACCACCAAAAGAAGUGGUGAGUGGAGCUCUCAGCACAGUGGCGGAGGCAGACUUUUAGUUAAGGGUGUUUAUAUUUUUUUUUAGGUAAAGAACUAUUUAAUAAACAAAAAAAAUAAAGUACUAUUGCACCGGCCAAGGUUCGAACCCGGAUUGUUGAUUCAGAAAUGCAAACUCUUGACCACUGGACUAUGCUUCUCUAACUUGUCAAGGGUGUGCAACAACAUGUAUAUAAUCAUAAAUAUCUAUAUUUAACCUAUAUACUCGAAAAGAAUUUCUGACGAAGGGUGUUCAUCUGAGCAUCUUUCGUUGGUUGUGGCUUCGCCACUGUCUGAGUAUGGAAAAAUUCUUGGUAGGGAGCGCUACCCCUCGAAUGGGAUCUUACCCGAAGUAAAUUCAAAUUUUAGAGAUAAGUCGGGCUCUAAUACGAAUGCCGAACACUGGAUGAAAAAAAAAAAAAAAUUUAGAGACUUUGCUAUGAGAUUCUUUCCAAAGCAGCGUGGGAUUUGAACCCGUGACGACGGCUAGAAAUGAUCCCACUUAGCCAAUAAGCUAAGCUUUUUCCGUAUUUUUGGGGAGAUUCAUUUUAAUAUACUCUUAAAAUCAAAAUUUAAUUAUAUAUAUAAGGUCUUUCAUUCCAACUUGUCUUGUACAUAUGCACCAAAACUUUUGAAGUGAACUCCAAAAUCCACAAUCCAAAAGACUUGCACCAUGUCUGUUUUCUCUUACUACCUUCACAUCCCAAUGGAAAUUCAAAAUCAAAUACUUCCUUCGUUUUAAAAAGAAUGAUCCACUUUGAUUUGACAUAAAAUUUAAAAAAAUAAAGAACACUUUUAAAUUUUGUAAUCUUAAAUUAAAAUUGUGUCAAAUAUACCAAAACAUCCUUUAAUCUUGUGGUCCUAAACAUGUCAUGUGGAAAGUUGAAAUUAAAGUAUUGUCAAAAAGAGAAAGGGAUCAUUCUUUUUGAAACAAACUAAAAAGAAAAUAGAUCAUUCUUUUUUAAACGGAGGGAGAAGUUGAAUUAAAAAAAACCCUCACAAAUUAGUAUAUUGAACAAGUCAAAAUACAUGAAUGAAGCAUAUUCUUUAUCACUAUUUAUAUUAUGAUAUUUUAACUCAAUACAAAAUUUAAUAAUGAAAACUAAUUUAAAAUUUUGUGUUAGAAAAUAAAUUUUAAGUAUUUGUAUAGCUUCAAAUUACUUUAUUAAGUACAAUAAUAACAACAUCAAUGACAUACUCAAUAUAAUCUCAUACAGUGAAGUUCAGAGAGGAUAAAAUAUAUACAAUUUACACCAUUACCUUAGAGAUAAAAAAGUUGUUUUCGAUAGAACCUUAGCAAAUUAUUUUCAUUAAGUUUAAAAUAAUAAAUUUGAAGUUAGUAUAUUACUUCUCCUCAUUUCUUUUUAAUUGUUUCAUUUUCUUUUUUGGUGUCAGACGAUAUAAAUUUUAAUUACUAUUUUAAGGUAUAAUUUUUAAUUAAAUUUAAAAAAAGAAAAAUUAUAAUUUAUAUUACUUUCACGUAGUUUUUGAAUAUCUAAAUUUUAAUUUUUUAAAUUAAAUUAAUAUAAUCUAAUUUAAUUUAAAAACUUAAUUAAAUUGAUUGACAAAACAUGAGGAAACCAAUAAAAAAAAUAUAAAAUGUAAAAUACUACUUCCUUCACUUCAAAAUAAUUAAAUUAUUGGCAUAUGACACAACUCUUCAGAAAAAUCUUUUACCACAUAAAUCACUAUUAUCUUUUUAAUUAUUUUUAAAUUAUUCUUUUAGAAAAUGUGAAGUACUUAAGAAUUCAUUAAAUGAAAGAAUAAAAUUGAAAAUAAUUUACAUAUCUCUUAAAAAAUAAAUAAUUUAUUUAUGUAAAUAUUAAAAAAUAGCUCCACAGUUGAUUUAUUUUGGAAUUAAUGUUAAGUACUUCCAUUCCCAACUUGUCCUAUAGAUAUCUGCCAAACCGUGGACUCCAAAAGUCUACUAUUCAAAAGGCUUCCACAUCUCCAAUCUUAGCUUACAAUGGAAAAUCAAAUAGUUGCAAAAAUUCCCACAAAUAUUUCCCUAGAAUUGCAACAAUUUUCAUGUCUUCCAGAUGAAAUCAUCAUUGAAAUACUCUUAAGGCUUCCAGUUAAAUCUCUCUUGAAACUAAGGUGUGUUUCAAAAUCUUUGUUUUUUUUACUAUCAAGUUCACAAUUUAUGAAAAGUCAAAUCAAUUUUUGUGUUAAAGAAUGCAAGGAUGUGAAUUUUAGACUUGUUGUUGCAGUGGGUAAAAUGUGUAAUAUUUACUCUCUAGGAUUAAAAUUUGGUGAAGUUGAUUUCCCUUUGAAACACCCUUUUGGAUCUUGUAAAUUCUUGGGAUCUUGUAAUGGAUUGAUAUGUUUAACACCAAUGUCAUUUAAGCUGAUGUUGUGGAAUCCAUGUACUGGAAAGUACAAAGAGUUUCAAGAUUCAUAUGCUCAGAGUGUUGGAAGUUGUUAUAUUAGGUAUGGUUUUGGUUAUGAUGUUGUUAAUGAUGAUUUUAAGGUUGUUAAGAUUUUUAGUUUUGCUAUAGAUGAGGUGAAGUAUGAGAAUGUUGUGAAGAUUUAUAGCUUGAGAGGUGAUUCUUGGAAGAUAGGUGAGGGGUUUGUGAGUGGUUAUAUGAAUGCACAAUCGGGGGUGUUUGUGAAUGGAUUUUUGCAUUGGGAGGUAAGCAAUUGUCGCGGUUCGGGUGAUUGUUCUGAGAUUAUGACGUUGGAUUUGGCUACGGAGACGUAUGGGGUAAUGGGGUUGCCUAAUUGUGAAAAGGGGAAUGUUAGUUGGGGGUUGAGUGUUGUAGGUGGGAAUUUAGUUGCUUGUUGUAACUAUUAUCCGAAUAGAACGGAUAUGUGGGUGAUGAAAGAGUAUGGUGUGGAGAAGUCGUGGACUAAGUUGGUGUCGUUGUUGUCUCCUUUUGGUCGUAUGGGUUAUAUCUCGCCUUUGUUUGUGUCGGAGAAUGGUGAUGAAGUUUUAGUGAAGCUUGGUACGGAUAUAAGUUUGUAUGAAACGAGGAACGCUUCAUACAAAUCCUUGGAGAUUCAUUCAGCAGGUUAUCGUCUUCAAGUACAAGCGAUUACUUACAUUGAGAGUCUAGCUUCACCUCAUGUUGGUGAUGACUGGUGAGUAAGUAAGUAGCUUGGGAGAUUAUGACUUUGAAUUUGGUUGAUAAGACGCAUGGGAUAAUGGUGUUGCUUAGUUGUGGAAAUGGAAACUUUCGUUGGAUGUUAAGUGUUUUAGGUAGACGUUACCUAGUUGCCUGCUGUAGCAAUUAUCCCGAUAGGAUAGAUCUGUGGGUGAUGAAGGAGUAUGCGGUGAAGAAUAUCCUCUCUUCUGCGGUCUCUCUUUGGUCGUAGGGGAUAUAUCUCGCCUUUGUUUGUAUCAGAGAACGGUGAUGAAGAUUUAGUGAAGCUCGGUACAGAUAUAAGUAUUGUACAUACAACAGGAAUGCAUCACGUUGUUGUCUUCAAGUACAAGCAGUUACUUACAUUGAGAGCCUAGCUUCGCCUUGUGUUUGCAUUAGAUGUUGAAAUAACCUCUUGCAGAAAUAAAGAUUACAGUUGCAUACAAUAGAUCCUUGUGAUCUGGCUCUUCCCCCUCUGGGCUGCCCUUUAGGUUGCGUUCGAUGUUGUAUUUUUGCAAGCUUUGUCUUGUUAAUAGGUUGUCAAAUGUAAUGUUUAAUGCUAAGUUCUUGUUAUUAAACUACUUGUUUCAAUCUUCUUGCAUAGUUUAAGCACUAUAUGUUUAUGUUCUAUAACAAGUGUAUUCAUUAGCCAAAUUGAUACCAUAUUGUGAUAUUGAUUGACAGUUUUGGUUGAUCAGAUAUCAGAAUUCAGAAGCAUGCUUAUGCAGAUUAGUGUAUUUGGUACUACACAUAGCUGUCAGCUACAUAGAGGUCAAUUCUCCUUUUCUAAAAAUAUAAAAAAAUUGGGUUGCUUUCACAUCUAGAUCAUGAUUGAAACAUGAAUUUUAAAAUGUCAAUCACUUAACCAAUAAGGUAAUUUUAUUUAUAUCAUUUUUUAAAUAUAAUAAAUUUAAUAUAUUAAAAAAUAUAUUAGAUAAUAAAUAGUAUUUAAUAACAAAGAUAAAUGAGUACAAAUAAAUAAAAUAUACAGUAAUUUUUAAACCUAAACAAGCAUUAUUAAAUAUUUAUUUUAUUAACAUAAACAAGUAAAAAAUGAACAAAAAAAAAAAAAUCUAUUAAGUUAAACGUCAAUUGUUGAAGGUGGUGUGGAAAGCUUAUUAGAAUUCAUGGACAUUGAAACACAUAGGCAGAUAAAUUCAGAUAUGAAUUAGUCAUAAUUACAAGGAUUAAAGAUAUGAGAAAACAUUUCUCUCCAAGAUUAAUUCAAUUAGGAAUGCAUUCAAUUUUGAUUUAGUGUUAAAAGCAGAAUGCACGAUAAUAGUUUAAAAAAAAUUAAUAUUCAAGUGGAAAAAGUUAGAUUGAGGUAGGGUCCAUUAUCCAUCGAAUUUCAAACCAUAGGACAUAAAAGAAAAAAGGUUAAAUUUAAUUAAAUAUAAUAAAGGAGUGUGAUGUGACAUCUUUUUGUCUUCAAUCGAAAAAUAAUAUAUGGAGGUACAUUUAAGAUUUGGGCAAAAUAUUUUCAUUUUUUUGUCUUCAAUUCAAAAAUAAUUUGUGGAGGUACAUUAAAGAUUUGUGCAAGAUAUUUUCAUCCUUUUUGUCUUCAAUUCAAAAAUAAUUUAUGGAGGUACAUUAAAGAUUUGUGCAAGAUAUUUUCAUCUUUUUGUCUUCAAUCCAAAAAUAAUUUAUGGAGGUACAAUAAACAUUUGUCCAAGAUAUUUUCAUUUCUAUGCUGUUUGAUAUGUCAAUUGUCUGCUCCACCUUUAAUCAGAGAUCGAUGGUUCGAUCCUAGGCAUGAAGAAAACUCUGUUGGGACUGCUAUCUCCUGAAUGGAGUCCUACCCGGUGUGAAUUCGAAUUAGUCAGGCUCCAAUGUGGGUAUCAGACACCGAAUGAGAAACCAAAAAAAGAAGAUAUGUCAAUUGUAUAUUUUCAUCUUAUCUUAUUUAUUUUUGUAUUUUUCAAAUUUGAAAAAAUAUAUAUUUGAGCUAAAAAUCUAUCAAAAAUAAUUUUUUUAUCUAAAAAUAAAAUUAGCACACAAUUUUUUCUGGACUCCACUUAUUAUUAUUGUUUGUUAUUAAGUUGAGAUUAUUAGGAUCAAGAGAGGGAAAAAGGAGGGGAAAUUUUCACUUAUCUUGUGGAUGGAAAUAUUGGAAUUUACUAAUAAUAGAAGAGCAUACACAUCGCCAACCCCCUUAAUUUGGCAUCAAUUUUAAUUUUGGCAUCUUAACUGUCCAUUGUUCAUUUUAAACAUUUAAACUAAUGUUUCGCUGUGUCUUUUUUAUCACUUUUCGCUGACAUGAUAAAAUGAGUGUGACAUACCCCCUUAAAGUGCAUGAGAAGCUUAUUUAGAUGAUUUUUAUUUUUAUUUUCUUCAUCUUCUUUCCCAUUGUGAUCCACGCACAUGAUAUAUUUUUACUGAUUGUGUAAAAAGUAUCAAAAUUACAUAGUAAGACACUGGUUAGGAUGUUUAAAAUGAACGGUAUGUAGUUAAAGUGUCCAAAUAAAAAUCGAUGCCAACUUUAAGAAACUGUCGAUGUAUUCGACCACAAUAGGAACUUUCUAUCUCUCUAAGUUCUAGAUUUCUUCUUCUGAUAAAAACGGUUUUUUAUUUAUAUUACAAAGAUUACAGAGGCAGAGGUUGUGGCUGUAUCACUACAGACGAUGAAGAUCUAUGUUGUACAAGCUGGACAUCUCUACUAGAACUAAUAUAAUAUGGGUGAGAGAGAGUCUGCGUCACCUUUCAAAUACUUGGAACUCCAUUCUGGUCCGCACACAAAAUCACUAAAAAUGAUGGUGGAGAUUUCCAAAACAGUACAACAAUAAAGAUAAUAUUAUUUAACUACCACCAUUCCUAGCUAUUGCAUCUGUUAACUUAUUCUGCUCUCUGUACACGUGAUAUCUCUCUGAGUUAUAUAUUUCCAUUGUCACUUCAAUUGAAUCCAAUAUUUCUAGUCUAGGUAUGAAAUAUUGAUUUUAUUUUGUUGACAAUGUUAUGAAAACAUUCAGAAAAAGGUAAGUAUUUAGGAUUUGUAAGACUAAAAUAGUUCAAAAUAAUUCUGUGGUAUUACUAAGUCCUUGAUCAAUAAAAAUUUACAUGCAAUUAGUGUUUAUAUCAAAAUAAAUAAUUUAACUUCAGAAAUUAAAAAAAAUGAAAUGACAAUACAUAUGUUCCCCUAAGAAAUUAUUUGAUUGCAAUCGCAAGAAAACGAAUGAAAACAACAAAAGCUUAGUUUAUGAGCAACAAGGAAUGUCACUUAAUUUGUCUUUAUGUUUUGAGUAAAACAUCAAGUAACUCCUGAACUAUGGUCAAAUUUGCUAUGACACACUUUAAUUUCAUGGGCCCCUAUUAUCCUGAAUUAAGUUUUAGUGUGUUUUCAUCAACUUUUUUAGCUGAUGUGACACAUUUUCUCAAACUUUUUAGUUGAUGUGGACCUCAUUUUAUGUAAUAAAGUUGUCAUGUCAGCAUAAAAGGAUGAAAAAAUAUGCUAAAAUUAAAUUCAGGAGUAACAGGGCUCCUGUAAAGUUGGUGUAUCGUAACAAAUUUGACUAUAGUUCGAAAAGUAUCAAAUGCUUAUCUUUUUUUAAAAAAAAAAAAAAAAAAACUCUCUCUUCACUGACAAUUUUUGUCUUGGUUUGAGACAACAUAAAAAAUAUCUAUGCACUUUGUCAUUAUUGUAAUGUUUCACCUACCUCAUAAAUCUACAGGAAAUGUUCAAAAACCAGAACAAUGAGCUAAGUGGUCUCAGGGGCCGACCUAUGUGCAAUUUUGUAGUGUCUCAGCAUCCAUUAAAUACGAUGCAAAUUCGAUCUAAUUAUAUAAGAAAUGUAUAAAAACUAAUAUAGGAUUUACAAAAGAAUUCUGAAAACUAAGAUGAUAGCUGAGUGCUUUGGUUUCCAGGCGGAACCUUAAAUCCUGAAUCCGCCACUGAUGUGGUCUGAUGAUACCUAACUCAUCAAUAUAUGAAACAACUAUGGCCUUUACAUAUUCAUUAAUUUGAUGUUGCAGCCUGCCCCAUUAAUCUAAUGGACCUUUUCUAAUAAAAACAGUGACUAACUGGUUCAAUAAUGCCUAACUAAUCAGUAUAUAAGGAGCCAUAUAAGCAUCACAUUACAUUCUUCUGCACUUUUUUAUAAGCAUCACAUUACAUUCUUCUGCACUUUUUCCUUCCCCUUUCAUAAUAGUACCAAGCCAAAAGGUACCUACAAAGAUGGAAGUUAAGAACAAGUACGUAGCAAUAAAACCAAACAUAAAUGGUGCACCAGAAGAGUCAGACUUUGAGAUAAAAGUCGAAAACCUCUCACUUAUAGUUGAGACAGAGUCUAAGGUGGUGGUUGUCAAGAACCUGUUUGUAUCGAUUGAUCCUUAUCAGAUAAACCAGAUGAAGAGCCAAAGUUCAUCACAAACAUCGAUAAGUUAUGCAACUGCCAUUACUCCUGGCGAGGUCAUUGACACUUAUGGUGUAGGAAGAGUGUUGGUUUCUCAUCGGCCCGACUUCAAGAAAGAUGAUUUGGUAGCAGGGCUACUUACCUGAGGAGAGUACACUAUAGUAGAGGAAGGUUCCCUGUUGAAUAAGUUGGAUCCUAGUCUGGCAUUUCCUUUGUCUUACCAUGUCGGAGUUUAUGGAUUCUUCGAAGUGUGUAAGCCAAAGCCAGGGGAGAAAGUUUUCGUGUCUGCUGCUUCUGGUUCAGUAGGACAUUUAGUAGGACAGUUUGCUAAAUUACUUGGAUGUUAUGUUGUUGGCUCUGCUGGUAGCCAAGAAAAGGUAAAUUUUCUUAAGGAGACACUUGGAUUCGAGGAUGCAUUCAAUUAUAAACAAGAAACUGACCUCAAAUCGGCUCUCAAAAGGUGUUUCCCUCAAGGGAUCGAUGUCUACUUUGACAAUGUGGGAGGCAAGAUGCUAGAAGCAGCAGUGGCAAACAUGAACUCAUUCGGCUGGGGUUAUUUCUGAGUACACGAAUGCUAGGACACGAGCUGCCCCAGAUGUGAUGGAUAUAGUCUACAAGAGGAUUAGAAUCCAAGGAUUCCUAGCAGCUGAUUUCAUGCCAGUGUAUGCAGAUUUCCUGUCGAAAACAAUUGAGUACCUCCAAGAUGGAAAACUUAAGACCAUCGAAGAUAUCUCACAAGGUGUUGAAAGCAUCUCCUCUGCUUUUAUUGGACUGUUCAAUGGUGAUAAUAUAGGCAAAAAGAUUGUCAAAGUUGCAGAUGAGUGAAAAAAAGAACAAGCAUCUCAAGUCCUUUGUGUGACUUGUGAAGUUUCUGCUGGUAAAUCUGAGAGCAUUAUCUUGGAACACCAGAGUAAGGAAAGAAUUAGGAUAACUUUUUUUUCGUUUGGGCGACACCAUGGUACGAAUUAGAGUAUGAAAGAGGAACAUUCUGACUCCAUAACACGAACUAGAAUAUGAAGAAAGAGAGACAUUCCAAAACGCCUUAUAGCCUCCUUCUUAUCAGUGUGGCGCGCUACACACCCAUAAACAGGACUCUACCCGACGCGAUUUUACAGACACCCUAGGACCAAGAACCGUGCUCUGAUACCAAGUUUGUCACGACCCGAAUUGGGGUCCUGGCCGUGAUGGGGAUCCCGAACCAUGAAGGCCCGAGAGCCCUUCUAACUUGCAAUCAUAUACACCAUUCAUUUACAAAAAGGAACUGCGGAAAUACAAAACAAACUGGAAUCAUGGUCGAUAUCAUAAUUCAAUUGAACAAUCUGGAAUGGAAAACAUAAACCUCUAAACAACGUCUAAUCGAAAUCUCUAACAACUGAAAAUGACAUUUGUCUGAAAUCUGGGAUAAGCCCCCAGUCGGGCCAUGAAUCAAAAUGAAACAACAAUAAUAAGUUCUAAUACAGGGAGUCUCACCAAUUGCAACUUCCGACGCACUCAAACCUAUUGCUGAACUGGACCCCGAGACUGUGCCUCAGAUCAUGAGAUGGAGGGGGGUCAAUACAGAUGUACUGGUACGCAGAGCAAUCCAAAAUAAUGUACUUUUAUAUACAACAUAGGUGAAAGCAUUUCAUAAAAAUGUUAAGCAAGAAAUAAUUUAAAACACAUGGGCAACUUAAAAUAAUCAUUCAAUGCAAAUCUGUAGAUGUAAAACCAUUCUUUAUUUUUUUUACUUCUGAGGUAAGUGUUACACCCUACAUAUUUGAAAGUUUCCCACCGGCAAUAUGGGAUCCGCCAUUAACUCGACGGCCAAGCCCCCAACCCAAGUUUGCCGCAAGGGUUGAAGUAUCUGAAUCUGAUACAGCCCAGGGCACUAGGCCAGCGUAUAAUAAUAUACCCGUAUCGGCAAAACACGAUUUCGAACAAUGAAUCAUAUGACUCGUGCUUCUUCGGGUAACCACUUAACUCUCUUAGUGCCUAGUUUUUAACCCAUUCUAAACAUGCGUCUUUUUGAAUUCAAAAUCUGAAAUCUAAAAUGAAAUUUGUAUCCUGUUCUGAGUUUUAUCAUGACUUUAUCUGAUUUGGUAUCGUCAUACCAAGACUUGCAAAUCAUAAUUCUGAGCCAUAAAAUAUCCUUUACAGCUUUCUCUUUCAAAAUACAAAGGUUAGACCACCAUACUUCAAACAAUUCCGAAAGAUUCAUUCUUCCAAAACAUUUAUCAAAUUACGCAAAGGUCAUUCUUUUUCAAUCAUUUCAACAAACAUGUGGUGGUCAUGAGUUUCAACAACCCAUGGAAUUUUUUUCAUAUAUAUAUAUAUAUAUUCAGCACUUACCAACAUGUAAAACCCUUUCUCUUCAAUUCAAAAAUCAUAAUCAAGUCAUAAGCAAAGUCAAGGCUUUUAUAUUGAAUUAUAUUUCCAAUAAUACAUUUCAAACACAUCAUAUCUUACGAAGUUAAGAGACUUGUAAAUAAGAGAGGGAUUUUAAAUAGUUCAUGCUCUCAAUUCAAAAUUCAAACUCAUCAAACUCAUACAUAUAUCUACUUAAACAUGGUUAUAAAUCAGAUUUGGGGGAAAGGCCUCAAUACCAAAUUAAUAUCAUCAAAAACUUUAAAAGCAUGAAUUUAAUUAUAAAUCCAAAACCCCCUUUUUGUAAAUUCAUAAUUUCUAAACCUUUAACAUGAUUAAUAAGAAUUUACCAUGCCCAUGUAGAUUUAGGAAAAUCCCACGUACCUUAGAUUACAAGGUUUGAAGAGUAGAACUCGAAUUUUGAUUUGUUCUUUAGAAAUCUUGGACUUACGAGAUUGAUUCUUGAUCUUGAAAGAAAGCCUAGUUUUCAUUUUACUCGAGGAGAGGAAUUUAGAGAUUAAAACUGAUAAAAGAAAUGAAUUAUAGAGUGUUUUGGAUGAUUUAAAUCGUGUGGGAGAAGUUUGGGAUGACCAAAAAUACCAAAAUACCCCUAAGGAAAUCAAAAACGCCGCAGCAGUCCCUCUGUUUGACAGACUGACAUGCUGAAGUAAAUUGGGUAUAACUUUUUACUCCGAUGAUGAAUUUUGACGAAAUUAAUUGCGUUGGAAAGAGGACUCAAUGUCCUUUCAUUUGAUAUAUAGAAGGCUACCCAGUUCAUUAUAUAACAGAAGUUAUGCUCGACAAAAAUUGAUCUAAGUUGAAGUGUCCACUAAAACGUACUCGAUGGAGUUGUUUUCAACUCGUCUUUGAGUUAGGGGAUUUUUGUGACCUCAAUUUGUAUCCAAAGGUAUUCCCACAAUGUAGGAUUUAUCACCACACAUAUAUUAACAAAGAAUCAUCUAGUUCGGUCAAUAUGCGUAGGAACGAUGCUUCCAUUUUUAGUCCAAAAAAAAUGUGGGGUGUUACACGGGGUGGCUGAACUUAGUGUUAUCUUGUAUGUAUUUUGGGUACAAGAAUCUGUAUAAAUGCAACAAUAACUUCACCACAAGUUCAUGUACAAAACAAGAAAGACUUAUGAAGUUUCUUAACACUUCAAUACAAGAUUAUGAAUAUUCUAUCCAAAAAAUGUGUUAAAUUUCAGAAAAAAAAAAUGAAACAGAAUUUUAAGGUCAAGUCCCCGACUUCACGGAGUGUCCUUAAGGAAUAAUUUUCCUCACUGCACCCGAGGUUAUGGAAUCUUCCUUCUAGGAUAAAAUGGCCUUCAAUCCGAACAACAGCGGUACAUCAAAUUAUUGGAUUCAACGAACUCACUCAACAACUUAAUGAUCACAUACAGUUUUUGUUAAUAAUAAGAGAGCUUUUGCUGUCAAAAUUGAUACCAACAACUGAGGAAAAUAUCAGGUAUUUAUAGCCUAAAGUAUAUCGUUUUAGAAAGGAUGCAUUGGUUCAGCAUAAAGGCACCUUUUCUGCAACAGUCAUGUCCCUGCGUUGGGACUGCACUGGAGAUGCGUCUGGACUGCGGCCGCAUGUGACGUUUCGCAGAUUCCAGUGAGCAACUGCACUACGUAUGCGCCAUAGGUCGUAUACCUGCGCUGCAUAUGCGACCGCAUGUCACCCUACAACGCGAAACAGUGUGCCUCUUGUCACAUCCCUUUGUGAUGUGCGUUGCAUAUGCAUUGAAAUGAUGUCCAUUUGGAGAAAAUUAAUACUUCUAGAUUUUGGAUUAAAUUUUCAUGGCCAAACGGCUACUAAAGAUUUGUGCAAGGUAUUUUCAUCUUUUUGUCGUCAAUCCAAAAAUAAUUUAUGGAGGUACAAUAAACAUUUGUCCAAGAUAUUUUCAUUUCUAUGCUGUUUGAUAUGUCAAUUGUCUACUCCACCUUUAAUCAGGGAUUAAAGGUUCGACUCUGGGCAUGGAGAAAACUCUGUUGGGAGCGGUAUCCCCCGAAUAGAGCCCUACCCGGUGCGAAUCCUGAUUAGUCGGACUCCAAUGCAGAUAUCGGACACCGGAUGGGAAACCAAAAAAAAAAGAUACGUCAAUUGUAUAUUUUCAUCUUAUCUUAUUUAUUUUUGUAUUAUUCAAAUAUAUAUUUGAGCUAAAAAUCUAUCAAAAAUAAUUUUUUUAGCUAAAAAUAAAAUUAGCACACAAUUUUUUCUGGACUCCACUUAUUAUUAUUGUUUGUUAUUAAGUUGAGAUAAUUAGGAUCAAGAGAGGGAAAAAAGAGGGGAAAUUUUCACUUGUCUUGUGGAUGGAAAUAUUGGAAUUUACUAAUAAUAGAAGGGCAUACACAUCGCCAACCUCCUUAAUUUGACAUCAGUUUUAAUUUUGGCAUUGAACUGUCCAUUGUUCAUUUUAAACAUUUAAACUAGUGUUUCGCAGUGUCUUUUUCUAUCACUUUUCGCUGACAUGAUAAAAUGAGUGUGACGUACCCACUUAAAAUGCAUGAAAAGCUUAUUUAGAUGAUUUAUAUUUUUAUUUUCUUCAUCUUCUUUCUCAUUGUGAUCCACACACAUGAUAUAUUUUUACUGAUUGUGUAAAAAGUAUCAAAAUUACAUAGUAAGACACCAGUUAAGAUGUUUAAACUGAACGAUAUGUAGAUAAAGUGUCCAAAUAAAAAUCGAUGCCAACUUUAAGAAACUGGCGAUGUAUCCGACCAUAAUAGGAACUUUCUAUCUCUCUAAGUUAUAGAUUUUUUUUUUUUUUGAUAAAAACGACUUUUUAUUUAUAUUACAAAGAUUACAGAGGCAGAAGUUGUGGCUGUACCACUACAGACGUUGAAGAUCUAAUCUCUACUAGAACUAAUAUAAUAUGGGUUAGAGAAUACAUAUGUUCCCGAAGAAAUUAUUUGAUUGCAAUCACAAGAAAACGAAUGAAAACAACCAAACCUUAGUUUAUGAGCAACAAGGAAUGUCACUUAAUUUGUCUUUUAUUUUUUAUUUUUUGAGUAAAGCAUCUAGUAACCUCUGAAUUAGGCCAAAUUUGCUACGACACACUUUAACUUCAUGGGAUCCUAUUAUUCCUGAAUUAAAUUUUAGCGUGUUUUCAUCAAACUUUUUAGCUGAUGUGACACAUUUUCUCAAACUUUUUAGUUGAUGUGGGCCUCAUUUUAUGUAAUAAAGUUGUCAUGUCAGCACAAAAGGGUGAAAAAAUACGCUAAAAUUGAAUUCAGGAGUAACAGGACUCCUGUGAAGUUGGAGUGUGUCGUAACAACUUUAACUAUAGUUCUAGGGUAUCAGAUGCUUAUCUUUUUUUUUAAACAAAAAAAACCUCUCUCUCAUCACAACUUAUCUCUGCCUCCUUGUGAGGGGCAUGGCCUGCUGUUUAAAUUGUCUUGUUCUUAGCUAUUUCUCUAAGGCAUCUGAUACUGACAAUUUUUGUCUUGGUUUGAGACAACAUAAAAAAUAUCUAUGCACUUUGUCAUAAAUCUACAGGAAAUGUUCAAAAACCAGAACAAUGAGCUAAGUGGUCUCAGGGGCCGACCUAUGUGCAAUUUUGUAGUGUCCCAACAUCCGUUAAAUACGAUGCAAACUAGAUCUAAUUAUAUAAGAAAUGUAUAAAAACUGAUAUAGGAUUUACAAAAGAAUUCUGGAAACUAAGAUGAUAGCUAAGUGCUUUAGUUUUCAGGCGGAACCUUAAAUCCUGAAUCCGCCACCGAUGUGGUCUGAUGAUACCUAACUCAUCAAUAUAUGAAGCAUCUAUGGCCUUUACAUAUUCAUUAAUUUGAUGUUGCAGCCUGCCACAUUAAUCUAAUGGGCCUUUUCUAAUAAAAAACAGUGACCAACUGGUUCAAUAAUGCCUAACUAAUCAAUAUAUAAGGAGCCAUAUAAGCAUUUCACAUUACAUUCUUCUGCACUUUUUCCUUCCCCUUUCAUAAUAGUACCAAGCCAAAUGGUACCUACAAAGAUGGAAGUUAAGAACAAGUACGUAUCAAUAAAAGCAAACAUAAAUGGUGCACCAGAAGAGUCAGACUUCGAGAUAAAAGUCGAAAAUCUCUCACUUACAGUUGAGCCAGAGUCUAAGGUGGUGGUUGUCAAGAACCUGUUUGUAUCGAUUGAUCCUUAUCAGAUAAACCGGAUGAAGAGCCAAAGUUCAUCACAAACAUCGAUAAGUUAUGCAACUGCCAUUACUCCUGGCGAGGUCAUUGACACUUAUGGUGUAGGAAGAGUGUUGGUUUCUCAUCGGCCCGACUUCAAGAAAGGUGACUUGGUAGCUGGGCUACUUACCUGGGGAGAGUACACUGUUGUAAAGGAAGGUUCCCUGUUGAAUAAGUUGGAUCCUAGCCUGGCGUUUCCGUUGUCUUACCAUGUCAGAGUUUUUGGAUUCAGUGGACUUGCUGCCUAUGGUGGAUUCUUCGAAGUGUGUAAGCCGAAGCCAGGGGAGAAAGUUUUCGUGUCUGCUGCUUCUGGUUCAAUAGGACAUUUAGUAGGACAGUAUGCUAAAUCACUUGGAUGUUAUGUUGUUGGCUCUGAUGGUAGCCAAGAAAAGGUAAAUUUUCUUAAGGAAACACUUGGAUUCGACGAUGCAUUCAAUUAUAAACAAGAAACUGACCUCAAAUCGGCUCUCAAAAGGUGUUUCCCUCAAGGGAUCGAUGUCUACUUUGACAAUGUGGGAGGCAAGAUGCUAGAAGCAGCAGUGGCAAACAUGAAUUCAUUCAGCAGAGUAACCAUCUGUGGGGUUAUUUCUGAGUACACGAAUGCUAGCACACGAGCUGCCUCAGAUGUGAAGGAUAUAGUCUACAAAAGGAUUAGAAUCCAAGGAUUCCUAGCAGCUGAUUUCAUGCCAGUGUAUGCAGAUUUCCUGUCGAAAACAGUUGAAUAUCUCCAAGAUGGAAAACUUAAGACCAUGGAAGAUAUCUCACAAGGCGUUGACAGCAUUCCCUCUGCUUUUAUUGGACUGUUCAAUGGUGAUAAUAUAGGCAAAAAGAUUGUCAAAGUUGCAGAUGAGUGAAAAAAAAAAAAGAAAAAGCAGAUUCAUGACUGUUGGCCUAUUUAUUCAUGAAUUCGCGACAAUAUCUUAUCUGUAUUUCUUUCAAGUUGUAAUCCAUUUUAACGUUCAUCUUCUGCAUCAAGUUAAAGUACAUGUUUAUGCAUUAUGCCUAUCAGAUUCUUGUGUAGUUUUCCUUUUCAUGUAUCCUAGAUUGAAACAAACUCUGACCCUAUAGUCUACCAGCUAUGCCUCGAUCCCAAAUUUAGUUGACUAUAUGAAUCUUUUAUAUCAACUCAACAAAGUGGAAAAAUACAUCUUUAGCACCUACUUCAAGACCUCUAUAAGAUACAGCAAUAUCAAGGUCCCCCAUCAACAUAGAGACCAACUAUCAUGCCAAAAUGAAUCCCGAUACUGAAAUAGCAGCAACGUAAAGUGACAAUGGAUGUACAUAAGUUAGUUUCAAUAGAAUAACACGAUAGAAAACACUAAUGUACUAGUAUCACAGUAGAAACAAAAUUUGAGAGGAAUGGAUCAGGAGGGGGAUGAACGUAAUACCAAGUGUUACAUUAAUGGCAUUAAUAUUGAACCUGCAGUCAUCCUUCCAUUCGAACAGACUGUCAGCAGUCCCUGCCGAUGCAGAAUGAACAACUAGCUUGUUGUGUUUUCAAGAAAUUAUGGUCCUACAAUUGCAGCCAAGGGAGACACACACAUAUUAGUGAAUGCUUCAGCGUAAGGCUAUUCAUCCUUGAGGAGGGCGGUUAAAAGACACCACAAAGAUGCAUAACCAUGGUUCCCCUGGAGAGCAAAGAACGUGCCAAAACUAGCACUCAUCAACUUGCAACACUUUUUUUUUUUUUUCCGGGAGAACUAAUUGCAAUAUAAGGAAGAAGAAUUCAUAAUAUGGACUAUUAUCAUCACAAGUAUCUUAUGACAGAUCAACAUCUAGUUCAGAUCGAUCUACAAAAAACACACAUUCAAGGGAAGGAGAAGCUUGUUCAACAUUUUGUUAUGAUGAACUUGACUUUAAGCUACCAACAAUGUGAGACGCAAUUUAGCAGACAUAGGUAACUCUCGCUCUAUACAUGCACAUGGUAUGGUAAUAACAUCGGUACAUCACAAAGCCCGCAUUUCUUCAUUGCGCUCCAAGCAGUUAGCAGAGAGUGGACUAGCUGUUUGGUUGUUCCUAACAUAGCUUUUUCAAUUCCUGAAAAUUCAAUUAUACAGAUUAGUCAGCUGAAAACUGCAUAAAAGCAGUAAAGAUCAAGAAAGCAACACGUGAAGAGCUAGUCCCGACACAGUCUACAUUUAAAGUGUACUAAACACAAGCUGCUGGCCUUGUUUGGGCAUAAAAGACGAGCUGCAUUUCCCUACAUUUGAAUAUGUUGAAGGCUCUUUAGUUCAUGUUGUAAGCAGUGAAGAUGAACAAAUACAAGGUAGUUGGAUAACCUCAAGCUAGACUGCAUGAAAGCGGUGUAUAAUUGGUAUACUUAGUAUGACAAAUCCCAUAAGAAAACAAAAAUGAACAAAGAGAUGCUCAUCCUGAUUCCAGUGCAACAUAUUGACCCGCCCAAAAAUGGGUAAUUUGAUUCAGAUCUGGAACACUUCACAGAAAGCAUGACCCUCCCACUACUAAAAGAAGACCAAAAAACGAUGGCCAAAAGCAAGGACAGCGUCGUCCUUUUGGACAAAAUCAACGGAAAAGUGACAGAGUCACUUGCAUCGUAAAAAGGCCCGUUGCUUUUUGAAAAUGACAGCUGCGUUGCUUUUUUUAUGACAGGCAGCAUCGUUUUUUGAAAAAAAUAAAAUUACUAUAGUUUAUUUAAAAAAAAAACAUGUCGUGCGUGUUUUUUUUGUUCAUGUAAAGAAUAAAUGAUGAAUAAAAAAUGACACACAUAGUCAUAUUAUCGAAGAAAAAGUUCGCCACUUUCUGAAAAAAUAAUAUUUUUUUCAGAAAAAGCCGACGUUGUUCGUCGUUUUUUGUAUUUUGUAAUGAAGAAAAAAACGACGAACAUCAUCGGUUUUAUUGAAAGAAAAAUUUUAAAAAUUAGAAAAGCAUCGGACAAUGUUGCAUUUCUGAAAAUUUAUUUUAAAAAAUUUCAGAAAAGCGACGGAUAAAAGGGACUCCGUCUAUCGCUUGUCGCUUUUCUGCAUUUUUUGCAUCCCACCUGUCAAAUAAAAAUGCAAUUCAAUAUACACAGCCUCAUGCAACACACAUUACUAAAAUAAUCAUACAACAAACUACAUCAAAAGAUUUAAGCAAUUCACAUCAGCAUCACUUAAACAAUCAAUCCAAAAACAUCCAAAACACUUAAAAAUUAAUUCAACAACAUCCAAAACACUUGAGCAAUCCUAAAGGUUUUUCAAUAGUUAAAUGUUAAGUUCAAGAAUGACUAAAAAGUGUCUAGAAACCAAAUCCAACAACACUAAGAAGUAGCCCCAACAAACUCCUCAUCACUUCCCAUUUCUUCUUCGCUACUUGAAUCGGGAGAUAGAGAACGGUUACAACGACGACGAGUCAUGCUAACCAUUUGUUUCUUCAGUUCCUCGACGGUCUUGAGCAUGACUUCAUUUUGAGCAAUAGACUGUGCCAUGGCACGUGUAAGCUGAAUCUGCUGCGACAUAGCAGCGAGCUGAACACUGUUAAUCGCCUCAGCCUGGCGUGACGAACCAAUACAAGUCCAUCCAGCUUCGAGGCGUCGCAAUUUAUUUCGAGAAUCCAACCCAUAGGUUCUCCCCUUUCGUCUUCCUCCCACCAUUUUUUCGAUCUGAAUUUUAAUAGCUUCCUCCUGUGUAGGCUCAGUUGGACCAAACUCAGACGAAUAACGUAUAUAUUCAUUCUGCAUAUUAAAAUAGACACGUUAGUAAAUUUUACUAUUACUAAGUAAGGUGGAGUAUAAUGUAAAUUUUAAUAUGUUUUGCUUACAUAUUGAAUACAAAACAUCAGAAAUCAACUUUCUUUCCUAAACAUUAUUUUAAAGCUAACUUUUGCUUUCCAUCAAAUCUAACUCGCAAGAAUUUCCACACACAACCUUUUGACUUUUUAAAAUUUGUUCCUCGUAUUGUUUCCACUAAUUGUACAAUUAAAGUCAGCAUGGCUACGUCUCAUUUCAUCCUAUUUCCUCAAUGUAGUGCCACAAAAAGGAUCAAAAUCAACAAACAAUAAGUAAAUCCAUGUUAGUCAAAUUCCUGAAACAAUUUUCCUACAAGGAUUAGCAAAUUCGAUAACACUUCUUCCUAUUUCUUCCUCAAUGAUAUCCGACGAUCAAUUUUCCUUGCUAGUACAUAUUCGGUACAUUGACCUCGGUCAGAUUUCAGAAAAUUAUGCUAAUACGUUGAAAACAAAAAAAAACUUUUUAGAAAAAGCGACGUACAUCGUUUUUUGUUCUUCAUGUGUAGAAUAAAUGAUGAACAAAAAACGACGGACAUCAUCAUUUUAUUGAAGAAAAAAAAUAUUUUUUUUAGAAAAACCGUCAACGUCCGUCGCUUUUUGUAUUUUUUUUGAAUGCAGAAAUCUGCAUUUUCUGCGUCCCACCUGCCAAAUAAAAAUGCAAAAUUCAAUAUGUACAGCCCCUAACAAAACACAUUACUAAAAUAAUAAUACAACACACUACAUCAGCAAAACAUUUGAGCAAUUCAAAUCAAUAGCACUUAAAACAAUCAAUUAAACAACAUCCAAAACACUUAACAAUUAAUCCAACAACAUUCAAAACACUUAAGCGAUCCUGAAGGUUUUCCAAUAGUUAAAAGUUAAGUUCAAGAAUGUCUAAAUAGUGUCUAGAAGCCAAAUCCAACAACACUAAGGAGUAGCCCCAACAAACUCGUCAUCACUUUUUAUUUCUUCUUCGCUACUUGAAUCGGGAGAUGGAGAACGGUGACGGAGAUGACAAGUCAUGCUAGCCAUUUGUCUCUUAAGUUCCUCGACGGUCUUGCGCGUGACUUCAUUUUGAGCAAUGGACUCUGCUACGGCACGUGUAAGCUGUGCAAUCUGCUGUGACAUAGCAGCGAGCUGAACACCGUUAAUCGCCUCAGCCUGGCGCGAGGAACCAAUACCAGCCCAUCCAGCCUCGAGGCAUUGCAAUUCAUUUAGAGAACCCAACCCAUAGGUUCUCCCCUUUUGUCUUCCUCCCGCCACUUUUUCGGUCCGAAUUUGAAUAGCUUCCUCCUGUGUAGGCUCGGUUGGACCAAACUCAGGCAAGUAGCAUGUACAUUCAUUCUGCAUAUUGAAAAAGACAAGUUAGUAAAUUUUAUUAUUACUCCCUCCGUUUCGGAAUAAAUGAAUUGUUGGAUUUUGAUACACAGAUUAAGAAAAAAACAUAAAGACAUAAAUCUAACACUCCUUUCCAUUUUUACCCAUAAAAAGAAAAAGCUGACCUUGGUAAUGUCUUUUCAAAAGUUAAUUGAUUGUCAAAUCAUAAGGAUAAAUUUGGAAAAAAAAAAAUUCAAUGAUUCACUUAUUUUGAAACACCAAUAAUACCUCAACAAUUCAUUUAUUAUGAAACGGAGGGAGUACUAAGUAAGGUGGAGUAUAACGUAAAUUUAAAUAUGUUUUGCUUACAUAUUGAAUACAAAACAUCAGAAAUCAACUUUCUUUCCUAAACAUUAUUUAAAAGCUAACUUUUGCUUUCCAUCAAAUCUAACUCGUAAGAAUUUCCACACACAACCUUUUGACUUUUUAAAAUUUGUUCCUCGUCUUGUUUCCACUAAUUGUACAAUUAAAGUUAGCAUGGCUACGUCUCAUUUCAUCCUAUUUCCUCAAUGUAGUGCCACAAAAAGGAUCCAAAUCAACAAACAAUAAGUAAAUCCAUGUUAGUCAAAUUCUUGAAACAAUUUUCCUACAAGGAUUAGCAAAAAUCGUUCGAUAACACUUCUUCCUAUUUCUUUCUCAAUGAUAUCUGAUGAUCAAUUUUCCGUGCUAGUACAUACUCGUACAUUGACCUCGGUCAGAUUUCAGAAAAUUAUGCUAAUACGUUGAUAUCAAACAAAAUAGACCUUCCGAGAAAUGCAUUAAACAAGGCUCUUAGUAAUUUGUACUUGGUGAUACAUCACCAUAGCAUUGAAGAGUUCCUAGAAAGGUCAAGUUACAGAUACGAUUUGCUACGGUAUUUAGCAACAAGAUAGAGAAUUACUUAUAGUAGGGAGACAACUUGUUUAAAAUAACAAAGAAGAGGAGAAUUGAGCUUUAGUAAUUAGAAGAAAGCAUCAUAUUAAACAACGGUUUAAAUCCCAAUAGAUUUAUCAAGAUUCCCCUGUUCAUUGGCAUCUCCAAUCUACACUCGUGAUCGCAACCCCAUUGCGAUUAUAGAUUGGAUGUCUAAUUGUCCAGGCGGUAAUGAUAGUAUCUUGUACCUGAACUGAUGGCUAACUUUUUCUAAGUAAUGGGGAAGAGGACCGAAACGUGCCACUGAAAGACUCUAGUGAGACAAAGAUGGGCUGUCAAGAACGUAGAGGAGGUAGGAUGGGCAGUUGGUCAUAUCUAGUAUGGAUAUACAUGGACGGUAGUUGGAGUCGGCGGCUCUCCCAGUCUUCCCUCACUGAGAUCUCUGGGGAAGCCUUCCAACCCACUUUUCUUCAUGACAACUUUAUUACCAAACUGAAAGAAGAUUUAAAUUGACCAAAUAUGCAACAGAACAAGAAGAUAGUCCUGGAGAAAAUUAUCAGUAAGCUAUAAGCAGCAGCAAAAAGGACCAAACUAGAUAGUAUCUCCUACUUUAACUCUUAUUCAGUAAUUCCACUAUUUCGUACUUUUCCCUAUUAAGUUUCACAAGUAAAAGUAGGCCCAAGAUUAAACACUAGCAAGGGUUAGGCACAUCAUGCAACCAUGACUUCCGUGUCCCUGGUCCUCUUUAUGAUUACUCUAUCUAGAGGCAAAAUCGACUCCCUUAUAAAGCUUCAAGAAGAACAAUAAAGCUAAUCCAGAAGAAAGACAAAGAUUACGUAGAUCGUAAUACCUGAAGAAAAAAAAGCUAGUAACUAGGACCAACGAGAAAACCAAAACAAGUCCAGAAGAAAAAAAACAGUUAGCUACCUAUUAGCUGCAAUGAGAAAAGAGAAAAUCAGAUACUAGGAAGAACGUAAUAUUGAUUCCAAAAGUAUCAAGUUUCCUCUUUAUGCCUCAUUAGUUUUCAACUGUAAAAGAUUUAUUAAAGAAGCCCCUAGAUCAAACAAUAACCCUGGAAAGGACCUCGGCUUUUUCGGCGCAUUCACAUGCCACACGUUCUACGUUCCUGAUGCUCUUUAUUUUUUACUCUGACUAGAGGCAUAACAUUCUCUAAAACACUGCUGAACAAGAGAAAGAUGUCCAACAUCAUUUAGUUCAAAGUCGAAGACAAAUUUAUUGUUCCUUGAAGAUAGUGCUUAAAAGAAAAAAUGACUAACAAGAUCGCGAAGCAAUACGGUUUAAAGAUGUCUUUUACAUAUGCAUUGUCUUGUUCUGUAUGCGAAACAACAAGAAGAAUUUAACAGCACUUGAGAAAAAAAAAAAAGUAUACUUACAAGUUUUUUGUCACUUGGUUUUCUUGAUCGGAGCUUUUUCAGCCUUUUGUGUUUUGUUGCAUCUGCAGCCUCUUCUUUAGAAAAAGGACAAACUAGACUUUCAACGUAGAUUGCUAUCUUAGGAAACUCGUCAAAAUCAAUAACCUCUGAAUAUCUCAAUGAAGAAUCCUUCGGCUUGUAUAUCAUGGAAUAUUUAACAAACCUGAAAAACUUUCACCUUUGUUUGACAUGAAACAAGGCAGAUAAAAAUCACACCACGGUGUAUCAAAAGGAUAAUUGACGGUAAACAUCUUUGUCUAAGAUUGUUUAAUCCCAUACUCCUUCAUAACCCAAAAAUCUACAUGAGAGGCGGCAUUAUCACAAAAAAUAAAUAAUUGAUAAAAAUAUUUAAAACCUCUCACUUUAAUGAAUAAUGAUAGUAAAAUUUGUAAGUGUGAUUCUUUGGACAUGACAAUAAUAGUUUUUCUUCGCCUUUCUUUUUCAAAAAUUAAUUUUUUUCUUCUGCUUGUAAUUCAUAGAAAAAGAAGAAGAAGAACUUUAGGUCCAAAACAAAUAAGAACAUACAUAUCAUCAAUUGAGUGUCUGUAUACAAUUUCUACGAAUUAUAAUUAUAAUCUUUGAUUUUUAGCCAAUAUAGCGAUUGAUUAUCAUCAUUUGAUCCACUUCAUUCCUUGACAAUGUUGCAUGGUUCUUCUCUUUUUUUGGAUCAAAAUUUUCAGCUGAAAGAACACAAAAAAUAUUAGAACUAAUUGUAUGCAAAAGGAAGAAAAAAAGUUGAAUCAAAACCAAAUAAAAAAGUAAACGAACAAGAAAAAAACGCGUACUAAAUUAUUGAGUGCUAAAUCUUUGUUUACAAAAAGUUACUUAAAUAGAAUUAUAUAAGGUAGUAUUUUAAUUGAUUUCAAAGUGUACUAAAUAUUAGGAGUUUUACUUCUUUUAAAUAAGUAAAUAAUUAUAUAAGGUAGUAUUUUAAUUGAUCUAAAAAUAUAAAAUAGUAACACUUUUACAUCUAUAUUUGCAUCUUUAAUCUAAUAAGAAAAAGACUCCCAAAAUAAGAGAUUUAGAUAAUGACUCAUUAGAAUAGAAAAACGAUUCCUAAAUAGAAGAAUUAGAAAAAGACUCAAUUAUUAGUAAUUUAUGUCAGCCCCUACAUUCGGAAAAUAGAAACUUUAAAAAUUGUUAUUUAUUUGUCAAGCAAAAUUGUCUUAUGGGCUUCUCCAAUUAAAAUCCACCUUUAAAAAAGCACCAAAAAAUUACCUUAUUUUAAACACUCAAAACUGUCAUAGGGUACAAAAAAAACCUUCCUUAAUUUUGGAAAAUUUAAAAUUAUCAAGGAAUAUUGUUAUAAAAUAAAAGUCUAUAAAAUUUGGUACUUUUUAAAUUCUUCUUAUGUUAACAUUUUUAUUAAACCUUUUCUUAUUAGAGUUAUGUACCUAAAAUUUAGGAUUCUUUUGGAUUAGUGUUUAUAUGGAAAAAAUCAUUACCUAACUCUAAUUAGGAAAGGUUUAAUAACUAAAUUUUAAUGAAUUUUAAAAUUUUAAACAUUAUUAGAAAAUAGCAAAAAGAUGAUUUUGUCUAUUGCAAAGGGUAAAAAGUUCAAAUCAUUUCCUUAUAAUCAUCAUGAAACUCAUCGUAUCCAAAACCAUACAUUCGCGCUGUUUCAAACCACAAUGUAGCACUAGGACAAUGCAAUUUCUUGUACUUUCUAUUCGAUGGAUUCCAUAGAAACAAAUUAUCUUUAGAAUCAAUUAUAGAACUAGAAUUGUUAUAGAACUAGGCAAUUCGUUGUACAAUCCAUCAGAUAUCAUAAGAUGACCCAAGUGUGAUACCUCCGUAACAGAAUCAUUAAAUAAAGAAUCAAGAUUACAAUCUUUAAUAUUCACCCCCUGUAUAGAACUCCAUAUCACCCUACGUUCGGUAGAAUUACUAAGAUGGGUCUUGAUAAAUUCGGGGCUCCAAAUUAAAGCAAGCUAGGAUUUUGAAACACACCUGAAUUGCAAGAGGGAAAAAACUCAACAUACGCUUAUAAUGUAAAUACUCAUUAGUAUUAGCAGAUACAAUAAAAUGGGUAUUAUUAUAUUCGUGGCUAGAGAUUAAAGCAAGCCAAAAUUUUGAAACACAAACUCAACAUAAGCUUAAUGAUGUAGAUAUUGAAUCAUUACUAUUCCAUCCGUCCGGCAAUAUUUGUCCACUAUAUAGUAAAAAUAAGUGUCAAACAAUAAUACUUGUCCGGUUUAAAAAUCAAUGGAUAAUUUACCCUUUUCUACCCAUUUCACCCUCGCUAUUAAAUACUAUUCAUCACUAAAUACAUUUUUCAAAAUAUUAAAUUUAUUACUCCUUCCGUCUAUCUUUACUUGUCCACUUUUCUUAUUAUUUUGGGAUGUGCAACAAUACUUGUCCAAUUUAUAAAACCAAUGGUAUUAAAUACAAUACAUUUCUCAUUUCAUUUUUGAAAGCAAAAAAAUUAUUAUAUUCAAAAGGUGACAUAGUAAAAUUACCCCUCCAUUUAUCGUUUCAAGGUACGUGCCAAGUAAAAAGUGGAUAAGUAUUUACGGACGGAGGGAGUGUAUUCAAAUUUUAUCCUUGCUAUUAGAUACUAGUCACAUAUUCCAAAAUAUUAAAUUUAUUAUAUUCAAACACUAAUAUCGUAAAAUUACCCCUAUUAUUUAUUAUUUCUUAACACGCGUGCCAAUAUAAGUAUUGUUGGACAGAAGGAGUAAUAUAUUCGGGGCUAGAUAUUAAAGCAAGCCAAGAUUUCUAAACAUACCUGAAUUUCAAGAGGGAUUGUAAAGUUCAAAUCUUGCAUUGAAUUUGAUGGAAAUCCAUCAGAUUUUGUGCGCUUCUUCCAUUUUUUGGUGUUGAUGGUAGGCUUUAUCUUCCUCUUUUUCCAUUUGGGCGCCACAAAUUUGAGUGAAAUUUUCCCAAAGUUUAUAGUAGUCGGCUGUGGACCGAUUUCGACAUGGGUCGGGUCGGGUAUAUUAGGAAGGAAAAAUUACAUAAACUAACAUCUUUAAGAUUAUAAUUACAAUAAAUAGCAAUACUUUUUUAAAAUUACAAUUUAUAGCAAAAGUAACAAUAUUUUACCCACUUCAUAGUAAUAGAAGAAUAUGAAUUUUCCAGUUGUGCAUAUGUAUUUAUGAGUAAUACAUAUAUAUUUGUAUAUGUAUUUUUAUAGCAACAUUUUACUUAAAUACAAAAUACAAUUUGCUACUUUUCGUAAUUAUGAAACUGUUGCUAUAAAAAUUAUAAUUAAGGCUACAAAGUUGCUAUUUUUGAAAUUUUUCCUAUUAGGAAUAGUGGGUUCUCUCUUCAAAAUUGGAUAUUUUUAGACAAUUUGGGGGUUUUCGUUUAUCUAGGGUAUGGGUAACACAUUUAUUAACUGUGACGUAUGCCUGUCAAGUGGGCCGGGCCAGGCCAACCCGAAACUGACCCUAUAAAAUUAAUCGGGUUGUGGACUGGGUCGGGUUCGGGUUUGGGGUUAAGUGGGCCGGACUGGGCUGGGCUCAACAGUAAAAAUUUCAAAAACCACCCUAACCCGGCCCACUUAAUCCAACCCGCUCAAACCCACCUAAACUCGAACAAAUCCGGUUAAAAAUUCGAUCAAACUCGAUCAAUUUUUUUUUCAAUAUACACAAUAUAUAUCCGCCUAUAUACAUUUUAAAUACAUUAAACAAUAUACAUACACUAUAUAUAUAGUAUAUACUACAUUAAAAUUUAAGAAAUAUAUACACAAUUAUACAUAUAUACGCAUCAUUCAAUAUAUACGACUAUACGUACUACUUUAAAUAAAACAUAUACUACAACAUAUAUAUACUACAAUAUACAUAAGUAUAUAUAUAUAUACAAAAGUUCCAAAUGAUGCACGCUAAGCGCAAAUAACUCACCUUAGACAUGAGAAAAAUUGAAAACUACAAGAUCAUAAAACAUGGAUAAUGAAUCAUAUGAAGAAUCUUAGUGAGCCAUAACACUUAGUUUCUAAAAUCUUUGCUUCUAUUUAGUUUACGGCCAAAAAUGAGACUAAGUAUCAAUACUUAGCUGAAAUUUUCUAAGUCUGGGACCUCUUUUGGCAUACUAUAUAUGAUCAAAAUGACUGGGAUUUUGUGGGGUCUUACAAAGACAAUGCAGCACAUAGACAUAUACGUAGGUUAGUACCUCUGGAAAGUACUGAGUAUGUUGGGGUGAAUGCAUAAGUAGAGCAUAGACUGAAUAUAUGUACAUACACUGAAAUACAUAAACAUAUACACAUGUAUACAUUAAAUAUAUACGUCUAUAGAAGAUAUAUUCACAUGUAUACUACAAUAUAUAGAGUUAUAUACUAAUUUACAAAACAUAUACACAUGUAUACAUUAAAUAUAUACGUCUAUAGAAGAUAUAUUCACAUGUAUACUACAAUAUAUAGAGUUAUAUACUAAUUUAUAAAACAUAUACACAUGUAUACAUUAAAUAUAUACGUCUAUAGAAGAUAUAUUCACAUGUAUACUACAAUAUAUAGAGUUAUAUACUAAUUUAUAAAACAUAUACACAUGUAUACAUUAAAUAUAUACGUCUAUAGAAGAUAUAUUCACAUGUAUACUACAAUAUAUAGAGUUAUAUACUAAUUUAUAAAACAUAUACACAUGUAUACAUUAAAUAUAUACGUCUAUAGAAGAUAUAUUCACAUGUAUACUACAAUAUAUAGAGUUAUAUACUAAUUUAUAAAACAUAUACACAUGUAUACAUUAAAUAUAUACGUCUAUAGAAGAUAUAUUCACAUGUAUACUACAAUAUAUAGAGUUAUAUACUAAUUUAUAAAACAUAUACACAUGUAUACAUUAAAUAUAUACGUCUAUAGAAGAUAUAUUCACAUGUAUACUACAAUAUAUAGAGUUAUAUACUAAUUUAUAAAACAUAUACACAUGUAUACAUUAAAUAUAUACGUCUAUAGAAGAUAUAUUCACAUGUAUACUACAAUAUAUAGAGUUAUAUACUAAUUUAUAAAACAUAUACACAUGUAUACAUUAAAUAUAUACGUCUAUAGAAGAUAUAUUCACAUGUAUACUACAAUAUAUAGAGUUAUAUACUAAUUUAUAAAACAUAGACACAUCUACAGAAGAUAUAUACACAAAUGUAUAAAUCAUAUGCUACUUAAUAUAAUAAAUUAUUAAUAAGACUUGGUAGUAAAUUAAUAAUAUAUUAGAAGUAAGUUUUAAAUUUAAACUAGAAAUUCAAUUUAAAUCAUUAAAUGAAAAAAAUUAUAAAGUAAGGACUAAGGAGGAGUGAAUGAAUGUUGAAUUAUAUUUAUUGUGUUUUGCGAAAUGAUUCAAAAUUUAUAAUUUAAUGAAUGAAAAAUCUACAAAUUAUGCAUCAUUUUUUCCAACUCAUUCAUGUUAAUAGUAACGGGAACUUGCAUAGGAUAGUCAAAUUCAACGGGGGUAAAACUAUGCAUUGGACUUAAUUCUACUGAGUUCUCCCGUGAAGACGUAAUUUCUUUAAGUUUCAGCUCGUCACUCGGCUCCGAUUCCAUUCCUUGGUUUCUUCUUUCCGCUCUGAUCCAACCUCUGAGGCAAACUAAAACAUUCAUUGCAUUGCUUCCCAAUGAGUGUCGGUUGUCUCCAAGCUGCUGUCGUCCCUGACUAAAGGCGCUCUCUGAUGCAACGGUUGACAUUGGAACAUUCAAAAUGUCUCUAGAUAAUCUUAAAAGCACGAGAUAUUGUGUUUCAUUACUCCUCCACCAAUCUAACGUGUCGAUCCAUCGUCUGCGAUCCUCUAGCAACGACCGAAGAUAAUAUUUCAACUCUUCCCGAUAAGUUGAGGUGUAAGUUCUCUCAUCAACACUAUUCCAACAAGGUAAAUCAUAAAAGGAAUCAGGAAAACCACUAUGUGCCGACCUUUUAGAAGAUGAUGGCUCCUCGGGAGGAUGAGGAGCGACAGUUGGAGUGAUAUUUGUAGGUACGGCUAAGUCAAAUAAAUCAGCAUAUCGAUUAUAUAAUUUUUCUAUGUAUUCAUUCGCAUCACUCAUAGCCGUUCACAAAUCAGGUUCUACUUUUUCAAAUUCAGAAUCAUUGUUAGUAUUUAUUUCUAAGUUAACAUAAAUAAUAGUACUAAAGUAGCACAUAGUAUUAUAUUUAAUGCACGGAUUUAACAUAGCUCCAACCAAGUAAAUAGAGAGAAUCGGAAAAAAAUAUUUUUUAAAUUUAGUAAACAUGGCAUCAACAACUUCUUUAUAACCAUCUUUAUUUUUAUAUUCUUUAAGCAAACUAGAAAUAUCAGCUAUAUAGCCUAAAAUAUUACAAACAGUAGGAUAAUACGCACCAAAAAAUUCAAUCGUAGCUACAUAAUUAUUUUUAAAACUUAACAAGAUCAUUAAUUACAACCCAAUCAGAAUCAUGUAGCAUGCAAUCAGCAGAAUCAGUAAAUGAACCGCAAUGUUGGUUAAAAGCUAGUGUAAUAGGAACUCUAUUUAUAACAAGUUUUAAAAAAAUCAUAUGAAGAAUUCCAUCUAAUAUCAAUUUCUUCAGGUAUCAAUAUCGAUGCAAGUCCAUUUUCUUGACAUUUAAUUUUAAAUUCUCUAAUUCUUUUUCUCCAAUUAUUUCCUUGAAUAAAACCAAUAGCAAGACGAAUUUUUUCAAUAUAAAGCUCAAAACAUUCAAGAUCAUCUUUUACAAUUAAAUAAUAUAUAUGACAUGCACAUUUAAUAUGAAAAAUUUCAGGCAAUGGCGGAGAUAGCAUAGAUUUUAAUUUUUUUUAUAUUAGUCUUAUUGUUAGAAGCAUUAUCAAAAGCAAUACAUAAGAUUUUAUUUUCGAUACCAUAAAAUUCGGCAACUUUAACAAUAGAAUCAACAAUAAAAUCUCCUGUAUGUUUACGGUCUUUAUCAUAUAAAAAAGCAAGAGUACGUUUUCUUGUGAAUGAAGUCUAAAAAUAUCAGACCGACAAGUAGUUCUAGGAAUACCGUUAAACAUAGGAUUAUAAAUUGCUUGUAUAUAAUGAAUAAAGGAAUCAGAAGAAGGAAAACUAAAAGGCAAACAACCCGCAGCUACCAUUUUAGCUAUUUCUUCCCGGCCCCUCAAUUUAUUAUACUUCUUCAUUACCUGACCGGUUGCUGGGUCCAUUCUAGUUUGCAUUGGCCCAUCAACAUCCCCACCACCUCGUGCAAUUUCUAACUCUCUUUUGUGAGCAUCACCUAUAUGUCUCAUUAACAUACCCGUACUCCCUUGCUUACCUCCACUUUUAUGUUUAUAUAUUUAUUGAUAAAUAUUGCAUUGCACCUCAGUAUCUGAUAUACGUUCAACAAAAUUGCCAUAAAAUACUUGUUGUUUUACGAGGUCUUGGGGCACGGGGAGGACGGGGAGGGAGAUUAACCGAUUCAGAUCUAACGUCAGUAUUUCCUACUGCGGGUGUCUCAUCAAUAUUUUCAUCAUCUUCGUCUAAAUUAACCGCAUCUACUUCAUUUUCUUCUUCUAUACCGUAAUUUUUCUGAGCUUCUACAUAAUCCAUAUCGUGAGCACCUACACCUAUUUCUUCCUCAAAAGGUGUACCAAGCGGUACCGGAGGCGAAGGCACACGGGUGUAUCUACUACUUGAAGUACCUCUACCACUAGUAAUUCGCUUUUUACUACCAUUACCGCUUCCGGGAUAAAUUUUUUUAACCCCUUUAGUAGCGACCUUUCUUAAUUUAUCCAUAGUAUAAAUUAAAUUAAACUAAAAAAAUUCAAAAUACACAAAUAUAAUAAAAUUAAAUAUUCAAUAAUUAAUACAAUAAAUAAAAAUUAAACGUAAGAGAUGGAACGAAAAUAUCAAAUUUUAAAAGUAUCCAAAGGUUGCGAAUUCAGAAACUUUCACUCGUACUUUGUAAAAGCAAAAUUAAAAAUUUAAAGUGAGCACUUUAGGAAAUUAAAUAUAUUGAAUAUUUGAGAAUUGAGAAUUGAGAUUUGAGAGAGAAUGAGAUUUGAGAGAGUGAAAAAUUGUGUGAAAAAUGAUUUGAAGGUGUAGGGUAUUUAUAGAAUUUUUUUUGGGAUUAAUUUUUUUUUUUAAAGUAAUUUUUUUUAAUUAAUGGGCCCAAACUAGCCGUUUGGACCCAAAAAUGGCUAUAUAGCCGUUGGGCCAAUGGCAAGUUUGUCCCAAAAUCCCAAAUUUUCAAAAAAAAAAAAAUCCCGGGCUGGGCCGUUUAACCGGCGGGCCUGGACCGCGCUUGGUCCGGGCUAGGUUAGCCGGACCCAAAUUAAAAAAAAACCGGCCCGGUACCCUAAAGUCCUUGGGCUUACCAGGCCGGGUCAAACCAGUCCGGUUUGUGUAGGUGGGCCGCACUUGACACCUUUAACUGUGAGUCAGAUAGACGAUUUUUAAAAAUUAAUCGUAUUUUUUAAAACAACUUCUUCUAUUUUAUUUUAUUUAAUACUUGGCGCAUCACUUUACUUGAUUAUUUAAUUCUAAGGUAGUAUGGAAAAUAAAUAAUAGAAUACUCUUGAUUUGUAAAAAUAAAUAAGUAAAUUAAAAUAUCUAUUUUUAAUAUAUAAGCUAAGUAAAAUGAAACAGAUUAGCAUACAGACAUUCUAAUGCUUUGGAAUAUAGUCACUAUGCUCAUCAAAUUAUCUUGGGGAUUGAUAAUGCUAAAAUCAGUGAAGUGUUCUCUUAAUGAUUAGAUUGCAAGGACUCAAUUUAUGUCUUCUAAAUACAAAAUUCGAGUUUUCAUCUGGUUGAAUCUUACAAAAUUUUAGUAUCACUAAUAUUAAAUCUUAAAUGUAUAUGGUUGAAGUCUUGAAGAUCAAUUUAGGGCUCAAUUUAAUUCUUGUUUGUUUUGAGUUCCACUUAGUAGAUGUCCCUAUUAAUUCUUGGUGGUUUGAUAGUGGAGAUACUACUCAUGUUGUCAUUUCCUUGCAGGGAUUCAAAAACAAAAGGAAGCCAAAGGAAAUGAAGUCAAGAAUUAGAGUCGCCACAGAUGUCCAGAUUGAAGUAGAGUUCAUAGGAAAUGUAGUUUAGACUUAGAAAUUUGCUAUAAGCUUGUUCUUGAAAACACUCUUUAUGUACCAUCUUUUAGACGGAAUUUGAUUUCUAUUCCAGUUUUAGACAGAUUUGGUUCAGGUUUUUAAUUUUCUUAAUGGAAAAAUUAAUUUGCUUUUGAACUCCCGAGUUGUUGGUCAUGGAAUCCUAUCUGAUGGUUUGUUAAAAUUUUCUUGACUUCUGAUUUUGAAUACAACUCUUUUAAUUUUGAAAUUGUGGGGUCUAAACAACCAAUUUAAAAUGAAAAAUUAGGCAUGUUGUAACAUAGGCGUUUAGGUCAUAUCUCUAAAUAUAGAGUUGAUAGAUUGUUUAAGUCUAAUAUUUUACCUUCUCUUGAUUUUGGGGACAUAGGAACAUAUAUUGAUUUCAUUAGAGGAAAGUUGACUAAAACAAGAAAAAAGAAUGUUAUUUGUAGUUCUAGUUGUUGAAAAUCAUUCACACAGACAUAAGUGGUCCGUAUUCUACUUCAAUAUGUGGUUCAAGUUAUUUUAUCACCUUUAUUGAUGACUUUUCUCGGUAUGGUUAUGUUUUUCUUGGAGUCCCACAUCGGCAAAACAUAGGACGGAUGCUGGGUAUAUAAGUAAGAAAGCCUUACUCCCUAGUGACGCGUUAAAGCAGUGAGGGCCUGGACCCAGAGCAGACAAUAUCACUAGUGGGUUGAGGAGUUCAGGGAUAUCUCAGGCCUUGAUGGUUCAGGAUGUCCGUUGCGGCCAGGGACCCGGCUCGGAUCGUGACAAAACUCUUUGCCAAAUAUCUACAAGAUUGUGGCAAAGUUGCCCAGUACACCAUGUCUGGCAGUCCUGACCAAAAUGGUGUAACCAAAAGGCGAAACCGUACUUUAAAAGAUAAUGAUAAAAAGUAUGAUGAGUAGAUCUAACUUACCUGAGUUCCAAGCUAUUAAAACCGUACUUUAAAAGAUAUGAUGAGAAUUAUGAUGAGUAAUUUAUUAAAACCGUACUUUAAAAGAUAUGAUGAGAAGUAUGACGAGUAAGCUAUUAAAACCGUACUUUAAAAGAUAUGAUGAGAAGUAUGAUGAGUAAGCUAUUAAAACCGUACUUUGAAAGAUAUGAUGAGAAGUAUGAUGAGUGUGAAGCUACUAAAAUUGUACUUUAAAAAAUAUGAUGAGAAGUAUGAUGAGUAAGCUAUUAAAACCGUACUUUAAAAGAUAUGAUGAGAAGUAUGAUGAGUAAACUAUUAUAACUGUACUUUAAAAGAUAUGAUGAGAAGUAUGAUGAGUGUGAAGCUAUUAAAAACUAAAGAUAUGAUGAGUGUGAAGCUAUUAAAAACUGUACUUUAAAAGAUAUGAUGAGAAGUAUGAUGACUGUGAAGCUAUUAAAACUGUACUUCAAAAUAUAUGAUGAGAAGUAUGAUGAGUAAGCUAUUAAAACCGUACUUUAAAAAAACUGUACUUUAAAAGAUAUGAUGAGAAGUAUGAUGCGUAAGCUAUUAAAACCGUACUUUAAAAGAUAUGAUGAGAAGUAUGAUGAGUAAGCUAUUAAAACCGUACUUUAAAAGAUAUGAUGAGAAGUAUGAUGAGUAGAUAUGAUGAGUAGAUCUAACUUACUUGAAAUCCUAUGGGGCAAAGCUAUUAAAACCUUCAUGUAUAUUCUUAAUCGUGUCCCUUCCAAAUCAGUCCCUAAAACCCCUUUUGAGUUGUAGAACCAAUAGAAAAUUCAGCUUAAAUCAUUUUCGAUUUUGGAGACCUUCUACGAAGGUAAAGAUAUAUAACCCUUCAGAAAAGAAAACUUAACCUAGAACCUCGCAUUGUUUUUUCAUUGGUUAUCCAACUGCGAAGGUAUAGAUAUAUAACCCUUCAGAAAAGAAAACUGAAACUAGAACCUCCCGUUGUUUUUUCAUUGGUUAUCCAACUCAUUCUAAAGGAUACAAGUUCUACGGUCCUAUAAGGGGAACAAGAAUAGUUGAAUCUCAAAAUGCAAAAUUUCUUGAAGUUGAUGUUGCAAAUAAGGAUUGUUCUCAGCAUAUCGCUCCUGACUUAAUCAUUUCCCUUUUAAGUCAGUCCCUAAACCCCCUUUUGAGUUGUGGACCAAUAGAAAAUUCAGUUUAGAUCAUUUUCGAGGUUGGAGAUGUUCUGCGAAGGUAAAGAUAUAUAACCCUUCAUAAAAGAAAACUGAACCUAGAAUCACGCAUUGUUUUUGUAUUGGUUAUCCAGUUCAUUCUAAAGGAUACAAAUUCUAUUUUCCUACAAGGGGAACAAGAAUAGUUGAAUCUCAAAAUGCAAAAUUUCUUGAAUUUGAUGUUGCAGAUAAGGAUUGUUCUCAGCAUAUUGCUCCUGAGCCAACUAAAAGUAUUGAAGCUGUCAGAAUUCCUCUCAGAAUCAUUUAUGUCUGCACCUAUACAUGAUGAACCUCAUAUACAUGUGUAAACUGAUGACUUUGUACCUGUAGAAAUUAGGUGCCUAUUAUUGAAGAAGUGGUUCAGGCACCUGCUGUUGUUGAUCAAGAGGUUCAGAAUUUAAGGAGAUCAUGUAGACCAAGACGAUCGCCUCUAUCGGAUGAUUAUUUAGUAUUCCUAACUGAAGGUGACAUUGUUGAUCCUGUAACCUUUUCAGAAGCUUCAUCAUGUGCUCAAUCAAAGAUGUGGCUUGAUACCACGUUUGAAGAGAUAAAAUCCAUGAGUAAAAAUGAUGUGUGGGAGCUUUCAGAGCUUCCUAAAGGCCGGAAGGUUGUUGGAUGUAAAUGGAUUUUUAUGACCAAGAAGGAUUCAAAUAGAAAUGUUGAACAAUUCAAGGCGAGAUUAGUUGCUAAAGGAUUCACACAGCGAGAAGGGGUUGAUUACAACAAAACUUUUUCACCAGUGUCAUCUAAGCAUUCUUUUAGGAUCAUUAUGGCAUUAGUAACCCAUUUUUAUCUUGAGAUACAUAGAUGGAUGUAAAGAUAGCCUUUUUAAAUGGUGAUCUUAAUGAAGAGGUUUACAUGCAACAAUCUCAAAGUUUUGUUGGUAAAGGCAGCGAGCAUCUUGUGUGUAAAUUGAAGAAAUCUAUUUAUGGCUUGAAGCAAUCUUCUCGAUAGUAGUACUUGAAGUUUGAGGAAAUUAUGACUUCUAUGGGGUUUGUGGAGAACAAGAUUGAUCAUUGCAUUUAUCUCAAGAUCAGUGAGAGUAAGUUCAUCAUUCUUACUCUUUAUGUUGAUGAUAUUUUACUUUCUAGUAAUAAUUCGGGGCUGUUGCACGAAAUUAAACAUUCAUUAAAUAAAAUGUUUGAUAUAAAAGAUCUAGGAGAGGCAUCAUUUGUUCUGGGAAUUGAGAUUCGACGAGAUAGAUCUCGUAAGUUAUUGGGGUUUUCACAAAAGGCCUCUAUUGAUCAUAUUUUGAAAAGAUCUCAAAUGAAAAAUUGUAAGUCUGGUGAUGUCCCCGUAGUGAAAGGUGAAAAGUUAAGCCUAGACUUGUGUCCCAAAAAUGAUCAUGAGAAAGAUUCUAUGAAAGAUGUGCCUUAUCCAAGUGUUGUUGGAAGUCUUAUGUAUGCACAAGUUUGCACUCGUCCUGACAUUGCUUUGAUUGUCAAUGCUCUUGGACAUUAUCAAACUAAUCCAGGAAUAAGUCAUUGGGUUGCUAUAAGAAAGUAAUGAGGUACUUGAAGAAUACAAGCGAUUAUAUAUUAGUGUACAAAAACGUUGACGACCUUGAGGUAAUUGAUUACACAGACUCAGACUUUGCUAGGUGUCUGAUGAUUUGAGGUCCACAUCUGGAGUUAUCUUUAUGUUUGCAGGGGGUGCGAUAUCUUGGAAGAGUGUGAAGCAAACUCUUAUAGCAUCUUCCACUAUGCAAGCAGAAUUCGUAGCUUGUUAUGGUGCAGGUACACAAGCCAUUUGGCUUAAGAAUUUUAUUUCAGGGCUUAUGGUAGUUGAUUCCAUCUCUAGGCCCUUGAAGAUUUAUUGUGAGAAUAAGGCAACUAUGUUUUACUCAAAAAAUAAUAAAUCUUCUUCAGUUUCUAAGCAUAUGGAAAUAAAAUAUCUGGCUGUGAGAGAUAUCGUUAAAAGGAAGGACAUUGUGAUUGAACAUAUACCUACCGAUUCAUUGUUUACUGAUCCACUAAUCAAGGUGCUAAGACCCAUAGUUUUUACAAAACAUGUUCAUAAUAUGAGUGUUGUUGAGUCAUUUGAUUUGUUGGAUUAGUGGGAGUAUUUAAUAUUGUUAUUCAUUUGUCAUUAGACUAUUCACCUUAUUGUUUCAUAUUUAUGGUGAUAUUAUUUCUUGAAUUUACAUUUAUGCUAUGGUAGAUUUUGUUAUCAUUUAUGUUGUUGAUUAUUAUUGUGUACACUUUAAUAUUAUUUUAUUAUAUUAAGGCUUUUUGCCUUACGUGUUAGCUAUGUCUCAUAUUGAUAAGAUCAUAUUGUUGUUUUAUUGGAUUUUUCUUUUGGAGACAUAUACAAUAUAUCAUUAUACCUUGUGGAUUUUUUGGUUGUUGCACCAUGUAAUAUGUUGCACAUGUUGAACCUUGAAAAUCAAGAUUUUCUGCUGGAGCACAUGUUGUUUUAGUGCUCAUACAUGUUGUAACAAAAUCGCGGUGACGAUUUUUCUAUGGUACGCAUGUUGAUUUUAAACGUACAUGUUGAUAUGAAAAAUCGUUUGAAGGACUAACAAUGAAAUAGCCUUGAUUUGGUGUCCAUGUUGACUAUUUCUUGCUACACUACCACAUUAUUUGGUUUAUGUCUACAAAACUUCGGUGUUAGUAAUUGUGGACUGGUCUUGUAUCGCUGGUUGAUGCAAGUACUGUUGCAGUUCAACAGUGAUAUUUUCCUUGAUUGAACUAUGUUGGAGAUGGGGUUCCAUCACUAAAUAUUUAUGGCCACUGUCUACUCAGUUCGAGAGUCAUUUUCAUAAAAAUAUUUUUUUCAAAACUUUUCAUUAAAAGUUAACAUCGUCCAAGUGAGAGAAUGUUGGAAUUAUUUAUUUUAUGUGGACUUAACAUUGACUUUUUAUUACAUUAAAGUAAAAUGAGCUGAUGUUAUUAAUUGGUGGACAAGACACAGGUCGUGUAUUCAUGUGGAUUCCAUAUCGACCUGUAUACAUUUCAUGUUAUUGGUAUGGGCUGACAAUAAUGUAGGCCCGUAAUAGACCUGUGAGCCCAUAAUGAGGGUGCAUUAGGUUAAGGUUUUUAAGCCUAUAAAUAUAAGGCUAGGUCCCCUCUCCUGAUUUUACAUAAGACGUAUUCUCAUAACCUAAGCUGCUAGCCGUCAUAAGCAAAGGAGAGGAAGACUCCGCCUAGUUCGUCUUCCAUUACGUGUAAGCAAUGAUGGACAAAGGUACACACCUUUCCUCUCUCAUAUUCUGUUACUUUGUGUUCUUGAUUUAUGUGAAUCUGUGGUUUGUUUCUCUAUUAAUUUCAACAUAAAAUGCUUCUCCAUAUUUUUUUUAAGUGGCUAAAUUCCCUUUUUGUAAUUACUUGGAUCAUGUGUUAUCGAUUCAUUGAUUAUUUUUACUAUAGUUCAUUAUUUAAAAAUUAUUUUGGGACAAAUGACAAAUGCCAUCAUUUUAUUUGAUGUUUUACACAUUAUUCGCGAGUGUGACUCACACAUGUGAUAUAUUUUUAUUGAUUAUGCAAAAAGUGUCAAAAUUACGUAGUAAGACACCAGUUAAGAUGUUUAAAAUGAACGGUGUAUAGUUGAAGUGCACAAAUAAAAAUUGAUGCUGACUUUAAUGAGGUGACAAUGUGUUUGGCCACAAUAGGAACUUUCUAUCUCUCUUAAGUUAUAUAUUUCCAUUGUCACUUCAAUUGAAUCCAAUAUUUCUAGACUCAAAUGAAAUAUUGAUUCUAAUUUGUUGACAAUGUUCCGAAAACAUUCAAAAUAUUAUAUCCACUUGGUGUUUAUAUGAGAAUAAAUAAUUUAACUUCAGAAAUUAAAAAAUGAAAUGACAAUACAUAUUUUUCAGUAAGAAAUUGUUUGAUUGCACAACAAAACAAAUGAAAACAACAAAAGCUUAGUUUAUGAGCAACAAUGAAUGUCAAUUUGUGUUUAUUUUUUUUAGAGCCUAUUUCUCAUCACAAUUUAUCUCUGCCUCCUUGUGAGGGGCAAGGCCUGCUGUUUAAAUUGUCUUGCUCUUAGCUAUUUCUCUAAGGCAUCUGAUACUGACAAUUUUUGUCUUGGUUUGAGAUAACAUAAAAAAUAUCUAUGCACUUUGUCAUUUUCUUUAUUUUGCUGUUUCACCUACCUCAUAGAUCUAGAGGAGAUGUUCAAAAACAAGAACAAUGAGCUAAGUGGACUCAGGGGCAGACCUAUGUGUAAUUUUGUAGUGUCCCAGCAUCCGUUGAACACGACGUAAACAAGAUAUAAUUAUAUAAGAAAUGUAAUAAAUAUUGAUAUAAGAUUUAAAAAAUGAUGGUUGAGUGCUUGGUUUUCGGGCGGAACCUUAAAAACUUGGGUGUCAAUAUGUGUGUUUGAACCACCCGGACACCCACGACCCCUAGAUCCUGAAUCCACCAUUGAUGUGGUCUCAUGAUACCUAACUCAUCAGUGUAUGAAAAUCUAUGGGCUUUACAUUUUCUUUAACUAAUCAGUAUAUAAGGACCUAAAAAUAGUUGAGUCAUAUAAGCAUUUUACAUUACAUUCUUCUGCACUUUUUCCACCCCUUUCAUAAUAGUACCAAGCCAAAAGGUACCUACAAAGAUGGAAGUUAAGAACAAGUAUGUAGCAAUAAAAGCCAACAUAAAUGGUGCACCAAAAGAGUCAGACUUCGAGAUAAAAGUCGAAAACCUCUCACUUAUAGUUGAGCCAGAGUCUAAGGAGGUCGUCAUCAAAAACCUUUUUGUAUCGAUUGAUCCGUAUCAGAUAAACCGGAUGAAGAGCCAAAGUUCAUCACAAACAUCGAUAAGUUAUGCAACUGCCAUUACUCCUGGCGAGGUCAUUGACAAUUAUGGUGUAGGAAGAGUGUUGGUUUAUCAUCGGCCCGACUUCAAGAAAGGUGACUUGGUAUCUGGGCUGCUUACCUGGGGAGAGUACACUGUUGUAAAGGAAGGUUCCCUGUUGAAUAAGUUAAAUCCUAGUCUGACAUUUCCUUUGUCUUACCAUGUCGGAGUUUUUGGAUUCAGUGGACUUGCUUCCUAUGGUGGAUUCUUCGAAGUGUGUAAGCCGAAUCCAGGGGAGAAAGUUUUCGUGUCUGCUGCUUCUGGUUCAAUAUGACAUUUAGUAGGACAGUAUGCUAAAUUACUUGGAUGUUAUGCUGUUGGCUCUGCUGGUAGCCAAGAAAAGGUAAAUUUUCUUAAGGAAACACUUGGAUUCGACGAUGCAUUCAAUUAUAAACAAGAAACUGACCUCAAAUCGGCUCUCAAAAGGUGUUUCCCUCAAGGGAUCGAUGUCUACUUUAACAAUGUGGGAGGCAAGAUGCCAGAAGCAGCAGUGGCAAACAUGAAUUCAUUCGGCAGAGUAGCCAUCUGUGGGGUUAUUUCUGAAUACACGAAUGCUAGCACACGAGCUGCCCCAGAUGUGAAGGAUAUAGUCUACAAGAGGAUUAGAAUCCAAGGAUUCCUAGCAGCUGAUUUCAUGCCAGUGUAUGCAGAUUUCCUGUCGAAAACAGUUGAGUACCUCCAAGAUGGAAAACUUAAAACCAUCGAAGAUAUCUCACAAGGUGUUGAAAGCAUCCCCUCUGCUUUUAUUGGACUGUUCUAUGGUGAUAAUAUAGGCAAAAAGAUUGUCAAAGUUGCAGAUGAGUGAAAAAAAGAACAAGCAUCUCAAGCCCUUUGUGUGACUUCUGAAGUUUCUGCUAGUAAAUCUGAGAGCAUUAUCUGGCAACACCAGAGUAAGGAAAGAAUUAGGAUAACUUUACUUUCGUAUGGGAGACACCAUGGAACGAAUUAGAGUAUGAAAGAGGAACAUCCUGACUCCAUAACACGAACUAGAACAUGAAGAAAGAGAGACAUUCCUAAACGCCUUAUAGCCUCCUGCUUAUCUAUGUGGCGCACUACACACCCAUAAACAAGACUCUACCCGACGUGAUUUCGCACACCCUGGGACCAUGAACCAUGCUCUAAUACCAAGUUUGUCACGACCCUAACCGGGGUCCUGGCCGUGACAGGGAUCCCGAACUGUCACGCCCCAAAAUUCCAUUGGGCCGGACUGGCACCCGAAGUCGAGAAGGCCCGGGAGAACCCGUUCAAAUACCUGUACUUUCACUUAUAUGUCACCAAAAAUUUGGACAGCACUUCGUUGCAUUAGAAGGGUCUAAUUACCUGUAUCAGCACAACACGCACAAAUNNNNNNNNNNNNNNNNNNNNNNNNNNNNNNNNNNNNNNNNNNNNNNNNNNNNNNNNNNNNNNNNNNNNNNNNNNNNNNNNNNNNNNNNNNNNNNNNNNNNNNNNNNNNNNNNNNNNNNNNNNNNNNNNNNNNNNNNNNNNNNNNNNNNNNNNNNNNNNNNNNNNNNNNNNNNNNNNNNNNNNNNNNNNNNNNNNNNNNNNNNNNNNNNNNNNNNNNNNNNNNNNNNNNNNNNNNNNNNNNNNNNNNNNNNNNNNNNNNNNNNNNNNNNNNNNNNNNNNNNNNNNNNNNNNNNNNNNNNNNNNNNNNNNNNNNNNNNNNNNNNNNNNNNNNNNNNNNNNNNNNNNNNNNNNNNNNNNNNNNNNNNNNNNNNNNNNNNNNNNNNNNNNNNNNNNNNNNNNNNNNNNNNNNNNNNNNNNNNNNNNNNNNNNNNNNNNNNNNNNNNNNNNNNNNNNNNNNNNNNNNNNNNNNNNNNNNNNNNNNNNNNNNNNNNNNNNNNNNNNNNNNNNNNNNNNNNNNNNNNNNNNNNNNNNNNNNNNNNNNNNNNNNNNNNNNNNNNNNNNNNNNNNNNNNNNNNNNNNNNNNNNNNNNNNNNNNNNNNNNNNNNNNNNNNNNNNNNNNNNNNNNNNNNNNNNNNNNNNNNNNNNNNNNNNNNNNNNNNNNNNNNNNNNNNNNNNNNNNNNNNNNNNNNNNNNNNNNNNNNNNNNNNNNNNNNNNNNNNNNNNNNNNNNNNNNNNNNNNNNNNNNNNNNNNNNNNNNNNNNNNNNNNNNNNNNNNNNNNNNNNNNNNNNNNNNNNNNNNNNNNNNNNNNNNNNNNNNNNNNNNNNNNNNNNNNNNNNNNNNNNNNNNNNNNNNNNNNNNNNNNNNNNNNNNNNNNNNNNNNNNNNNNNNNNNNNNNNNNNNNNNNNNNNNNNNNNNNNNNNNNNNNNNNNNNNNNNNNNNNNNNNNNNNNNNNNNNNNNNNNNNNNNNNNNNNNNNNNNNNNNNNNNNNNNNNNNNNNNNNNNNNNNNNNNNNNNNNNNNNNNNNNNNNNNNNNNNNNNNNNNNNNNNNNNNNNNNNNNNNNNNNNNNNNNNNNNNNNNNNNNNNNNNNNNNNNNNNNNNNNNNNNNNNNNNNNNNNNNNNNNNNNNNNNNNNNNNNNNNNNNNNNNNNNNNNNNNNNNNNNNNNNNNNNNNNNNNNNNNNNNNNNNNNNNNNNNNNNNNNNNNNNNNNNNNNNNNNNNNNNNNNNNNNNNNNNNNNNNNNNNNNNNNNNNNNNNNNNNNNNNNNNNNNNNNNNNNNNNNNNNNNNNNNNNNNNNNNNNNNNNNNNNNNNNNNNNNNNNNNNNNNNNNNNNNNNNNNNNNNNNNNNNNNNNNNNNNNNNNNNNNNNNNNNNNNNNNNNNNNNNNNNNNNNNNNNNNNNNNNNNNNNNNNNNNNNNNNNNNNNNNNNNNNNNNNNNNNNNNNNNNNNNNNNNNNNNNNNNNNNNNNNNNNNNNNNNNNNNNNNNNNNNNNNNNNNNNNNNNNNNNNNNNNNNNNNNNNNNNNNNNNNNNNNNNNNNNNNNNNNNNNNNNNNNNNNNNNNNNNNNNNNNNNNNNNNNNNNNNNNNNNNNNNNNNNNNNNNNNNNNNNNNNNNNNNNNNNNNNNNNNNNNNNNNNNNNNNNNNNNNNNNNNNNNNNNNNNNNNNNNNNNNNNNNNNNNNNNNNNNNNNNNNNNNNNNNNNNNNNNNNNNNNNNNNNNNNNNNNNNNNNNNNNNNNNNNNNNNNNNNNNNNNNNNNNNNNNNNNNNNNNNNNNNNNNNNNNNNNNNNNNNNNNNNNNNNNNNNNNNNNNNNNNNNNNNNNNNNNNNNNNNNNNNNNNNNNNNNNNNNNNNNNNNNNNNNNNNNNNNNNNNNNNNNNNNNNNNNNNNNNNNNNNNNNNNNNNNNNNNNNNNNNNNNNNNNNNNNNNNNNNNNNNNNNNNNNNNNNNNNNNNNNNNNNNNNNNNNNNNNNNNNNNNNNNNNNNNNNNNNNNNNNGGAAAGAAGACUCAAAGAUAUUUCUUUUGAUCUGUGGUAGCUCUCCCAGUUCAUUAUAUUGAGGAAGUUAUUAUCGUUCAAAGUUGACCCAAAAAACUGGCAGGCCUCAGUAGUUUGUGUGCAGGAAAUUUUCCUGCACAUUUACUGUUCACAACAUCCCGGCCACCGUUUUAUAGUUUCGAACGUGCUCAAUUAUAUCCGAAACUUAUCCGUUUUUGAAAAUCUUUAUAUCGUUGGAAAGCUUAUUCAAUAACCUUCAUAUGGAAUCAUCGACGGGCAAAUUCCGGUAUAAAUAAAAUAAAAAAUUAAUUCCAUAUAAAUAAGACCAACACAUGUACUUGAAUACGCCAAUACAUGUACUUGAAUACGGGGUGUUACACGAACCAUGAAGGUCCGAGAGCCCUUCUAACUUGCAAUCAUAUACACCAUUCAUUUACAAAGAGGAACUGCGGAAAUACAAAACAAAACAAAAUCAUGAUCGACAUCUUAAUUCAAUUGAACAAUCUGGAAUGGAAAACAUAAAUCUCUAAACAACGUCUAACAUUAGUCUGCGAAAUCUCUAACAAAUGAAAAUGACAUUUGUAUGAAAUCUAGGAUAAUCCCCCAGUCGGGCCAUGAAUCAAAAUGAAAUAACAAUAACAAGUUCUAAUACAGGCCUUCCGAAGUAAGGGAGGCUCACCACUUGAAACUUCCGACGCACUCAAACCUAUUGCUGAACUGGACUUCGAGACUGUGCCUCAGAUCCUGAGAUGGAGGGGGGGUCAAUACAGAUGUACUGGUAUGCAAAACAAUCCAAAAUAAUGUACUUUUAUAUACAACAUAGGUGAGAGCAUUUCAUAAAAAUGUUAAGCAAGAAAUAAUUUAAAACACAUGUGCAACUUAAAAUAAUCAUUCAAUGCAAAUCUGUAGAUGUAAAACCAUUCUUUAUUUUUUUACUUCUGAGGUAAGUGGUACACCCUACAUUUUGAAAGCUUCCCACAGGCAAUAUGGGAUCUGCCAUUAACUCGACGGCCAAGCCCCCAACCCAAGUUUGCCGCAAGGGUUGAAGUAUUUGAAUCUGAUACGCCCCAGGGCACUAGGCCAUCGUAUAAUAAUACACCCGUAUCGGCAAAACACGGUUUCGGGAAAUGAAUCAUAUGACUCGUGCCUUCUUCGGGUAACCACCUAACUCUCUUAGUGCCUAGUUUUUAACCCAUUCUAAACAUGCAUCUUUUUGAAUUCAAAAUUUGAAAUGUAAAAUGAAAUCUGUAUCCUAUUCUGAGUUUUAUCAUAACUUUAUCUGAUUUGGUAUCGUCAUACCAAGACUUGCAAGUCAUAAUUCUGAGCCAUAAAAUAUCCUUUACAGCUUUCUCUUUCAAAAUACAAAGGUUAGACCACCAUACUUCAAACAAUUUCGAAAGAUUCAUUCUUUCAAAACAUUUAUCAAAUUACAGAAAGGUCAUUCUUUUUCAAUCAUUUCAACAAACAUGUGGUGGUCAUGAGUUUCAACAACCCAUGAACUUUUUUUUCAUAUAUAUAUAUAUAUAGAUAUAUAUAUUUUCAGCACUUACCAACAUGUAAAUCCCUCUCUCUUCAAUUCAAAAAUCACAAUCAAGUCAUAAACAAAGUCAAGGCUUUUAUAUUGAAUUAUAUUUCCAAUAUUACAUUUCGAACACAUCAUAUCUUAUGAAGUUAAGAGACUUGUAAAUAAGAGAGGGAUUUCAAAUAGUUCAUGCUCUCAAUUCAUAAUUCAAACUCAUCAAACUCAUAUAUAUAUAUCUACUAAAACAUGGUUAUAAAUCGGAUUUGGGGGAAAGGCCUCAAUACCAAAUUAAUAUCAUCAAAAACUUUAAAAGCAUGAAUCUAAUUAUAAAUCCAAAACCCCCUUUUUGUAAAUUCAUAAUUUCUAAACUUUUAACAUGAUUAAUAAGAAUUUAUCAUGCCCUAGAUUUAGGAAAACCCCACGUACCUUAGAUUACAAGGUUUGAAGGGUAGAACUCGAAUCUUGAUUUGUUCUUUAGAAAUCUUGGACUUACGAGAUUGAUUCUUGAUCUUGAAGAAAGCCUAGUUUCCAUUUUACUCUUGAGAGAAGAGAGGAAUUCAGAGAUUAAAACUGACAAAAGAAAUGGAUUAUGGAGUGUUUUGGACGAUUUAAAGGUAUAAUAUAUAAAUAUGACCCUAAACUUGACACCAAGUUAUAACUUUGACCUUAAACUUUGACAGUGUACAAAUAUGACCUUUAACUAUUCAAAACUGCACAAAUAUGACCUCCGAUCCUACGUGGCAAAACGCGUGUUCAACACGCAAAACUGGACGCGUCCAGCUUAAAAUCUAAGGGCAUAAUACAUAAAUAUGACCCUAAACUUGACACCAAAUUAUAACUUUUACCUUAAACUUUGACAGUGCACAAAUAUGACCUUUAACUAUUCAAAACUGUACAAAUAUGACCUUUAAAUGACUUUUCACUAUCAUUUUUUCAUUAUUUUCGGCUCAAAGAUGAAAGUGGCAUUUAAUUUCUAUUCAUAUGGCGGAAAAAGAGCAAUAUUGAAGAUUUAUUAAUUAGGUGGGUCAUCCUCAUAAGAAAAAAUCGCGCAGGUAUGUAUAUAUAUUAUAAAGCAAAGGACGAAUUUAUAUUAUAUAAUAUAUCUAAAUAUAAUUUAUUUAAUUAUUAAAUUAAAGAUGAAACUAUACUAAUAAAAAAAAUUAUAGUUUUAAUAAAAUGUUAUUAAAUUAACGUUAUUANNNNNNNNNNNNNNNNNNNNNNNNNNNNNNNNNNNNNNNNNNNNNNNNNNNNNNNNNNNNNNNNNNAAAUGUUAGUAUUAAAUUAACGUUAUUAAAUUAACGCAGGGGCGGACCUACGUGGUUGCCAUGGGGUUCACCCGAACCCCCUUGGUAAAAAAAUUAUGUUGUAUAUAUAAGGUAGAAAUCUAUAUUUAUAUACGUAUAUUAAUGUUGAACCACGUGAAAUAAGGCACUUAGAUAGCCCAGUGGUGUUAUUUGCUCUUCUUGGGCGCUUCCUUCAGCCUACUACAUGGGUUCAAUCCUUGCUAGUGGCUUUUUUUUUAAUUAAAAAAAAGAUUAGGUGUUGCUGCUAUAGAAAAAGUAGAGGUCAAAAUGUUUAAAUAAUAUAAUACUUAGUAACAAGUUCAAUGUAGGUGGCUUAGAGGGAAUAUUGAAACAAAUUAAAAGGGUUGUUUUUCUAUAGAAACAAAUAAAAUAAUAAUAAUAAUAAUAAUAAUAAUAAUAAUAAUAAUAAUAAUAAUAAUAAUAAUAAUAAUAAUAGUAAUAGUAAUAAGUAAUAAAAACGAUGCCGUUUUAACACAAAAAGCAAAACUUUGACAGUGCACAAAUAUGACCUCUAACUAUUCAAAACUGCACAAAUAUGACCUCCCUCCAAAUCAGCCCUUUUAAUGAUGUGGCACCGUAUGAUUAGAUGAGCUGUCCACGUAGGCGCAAGUGAAACUCACGCAUGGGAUUGCAAAAUCGAAGGUCAUAUUUGUUCAGGUUUUGAAUAGUUAAAGGUCAUAUUUGUGCACUAUCAAAAUUUAAGGUCAAAGUUAUAAUUUGGUGUCAAGUUUAGGGCCAUACUUAUAUAUUAUGCCUGAUUUAAAUCGUGUGGAAGAAGUUUGGGAUGAUAAAAAUACCAAAAUACCCCUAAGGAAAUCAAAAAUACCGCAGCAGUCCCUCGGUUUGACAGACUGACAUGCUGAAGUAAAUUGGGUAAAACUUUUUACUCCGAUGUUGAAUUUCGACGAAAUCAAUUGCGUCGGAAAGAGGACUCAAAUUACUUUCAUUUUAUAUAUAGAAGGACACCCAGUUCAUUAUAUAACAGAAGUUAUGCUCAACGAAAGUUGACCCAAGUUGAAGUGUCCACUAAAACCUACUCGAUGGAAUUGUUUUCAACUCGUCUUUGAGUUAGUUGAUUUUUGUGACUUCAAUUAUUAUACAAAGGUAUUCCCACACUGUAGGAUUUAUCACCCCACAUAUAUUAACAAAGAAUCAUCUAGUUUGGGUCAAUACACGUAGGUUUCUAGUCCGAAAAAAAUGCAGGGUGUUACACGGGAUGGCUGAACUUAGUGUUAUCUUGUAUGUAUUUUGGGUACAAGAACCUGUAUAAAUGCAACAAUAACUUCAUCACAAGUUCAUGUACAAAACAAGAACACUUAUGAAGUUCCUUAAUACCUUUAAUACAAGAUUAUGAAUAAUCUAUCCAAAAAGUGUGUUAAAUUUCAGAAAAAAAAUGAAACAGAAUUUUAAGGCCAAGUCUCCGACUUCACGGAGUAUCCUUAAGGAAUAAUUCCCCUCACUGUACCCGAGGUUAUGGAAUCUUCCUACUAGGAUAAAAUGGCCUUCAAUCCGAACAAUAGAGGUACCUCAAAUUAUUGGAUUCAACGAACUCACUCAAUAACUUGAUCACACAGAGUUUUUGUUAAUAACAAGAGAGUUUUUGCUGUCAAAAUUGAUACCAACACCUGAGGAAAAUAUCAGGUAUUUAUAGCCUAAAGUGUAUCCUUUCAGAAAGGAUGAAAAAAGCAUUGUUUCAGCAGAAAGGCACCUUUUCUGCAAUAGUCAUAUCCCUGCGUUGGGACUGCUCUGGAGAUGCGUCUGGACUGUGGCCACAUGUGACGUUUUACAGAUUCCAGUGAGCAACUACGCUAUGUCUGCGCCACAGGUCGUAUACCUGCGCUACGUAUGCGGACGCAUGUCACCCUACAACGCGAAAUAGUGUGCCUCUUGUCACAUCCCUUUGUGAUGUGUGUUGCGUAUGCAUUGGAAUGGCGUCCAUUUGGAGAAAAUUAAUACUUCCAGAUUUUGGAUUAAAUUUUCAUGGCCAAACGGCUACUAAAGAUUUGUGCAAGAUAUUUUCAUCUUUUUGUCUUCAAUCCAAAAAUAAUUUAUGGAGGUACAAUAAACAUUUGUCCAAGAUAUUUUCAUUUCUAUGCUGUUUGAUAUGCCAAUUGUCUGCUGUUGGGAGCGCUAUCCCCCGAAUGGAGCCCUACCCUAUGCGAAUCCAGAUUAGUCGGGCUCCAAUGCAGAUAUCGGACACCGGAUGAGAAACCAAAAAAAGAAGAUAUGUCAAUUGUAUAUUUUCAUCUUAUCUUAUUUAUUUUUGUAUUUUUCAAAUUUGAAAAAAUAUAUAUUUGAGCUAAAAAUCUAUCAAAAAUAAUUUUUUUUAUCUAAAAAUAAAAUUAGCACACAAUUUUUUCUGACUCCACUUAUUAUUAUUGUUUGUUAUUAAGUUGAGAUUAUUAGGAUCAAGAGAGGGAAAAAAGAGGGGAAAUUUUCACUUAUCUUGUGGAUGGAAAUAUUGGAAUUUACUAAUAAUAGAAUGGCAUACACAUCGCCAACCUCCUUAAUUUGGCAUCAAUUUUAAUUUUGGCAUCUUAACUGUCAAUUGCUCAUUGUAAACAUUUAAACUAAUGUUUCGCUGUGUCUUUUUUAUCACUUUUCGCUGACAUGAUAAAAUGAGUAUGACGUACCCCCUUAAAGUUCAUGAGAAGAUUAUUUAGAUGAUUUUUAUUUUUAUUUUCUUCAUCUUCUUUUCCAUUGUGAUCCACGCACAUGAUAUAUUUUUACUGAUUGUGUGAAAAGUAUCAAAAUUACAUAGUAAGACAUCGGUUAGGAUGCUUAAAAUGAACGGUAUGUAGUUAAAGUGCCCAAAUAAAAAUCAAUGCCAACUUUAAGAAACUGGCGAUGUAUUUGACCACAAUAGGAAGUUUCUAUCUCUCUAAGUUAAUAUAUAUAUAUAUUUGAUAAAAACGACUUUUUAUUUAUAUUACAAAUAUUACAGAGGCAGAAGCUGUGGCUGUAUGAUACGAGAAUUCCUAGCUUGAGACCUUUCACACGAAGACAAGCGCAUGAGUUGCAACGACUCCAAGCCUUGUUCGCAUCCUUUCCCUUGUGAGCCCAUCCAAGGGCCUAUACUUAUUAAAAUGCGAAGAGGCCCGACUAAACACCCCAAACCCACCCACUAAAUGCCAAGGGUAUUUUGGUCUUUUGUCCCUUCUUUGUAAUUGACUAUAUAAGUCAUUUGUUAGGGCUAGUAUUGUGGUAGUUCAUUCAUGAUAUUUUGAGAACACAAGACUUGUAAUAUUUUGAACUUUUCUCUUCCAUUGGAGAAGCUCAAAACUGAAAUUCCCAAUUGGAGUGACACUUGGGUUGAGUCUAGGCUAAAAACUAGGAUCUUGAGGUCAUUGAGUUCCUCUUUGUCCAAGUAAGAGCUUGGUGAUAAUAUUCUUUAAUCUUAGGGUCCUUUCAUGUUGUUAGGGUUCUUAGAUUCUUGAAUAUUGUAUGUCAAGUUACUAUCUUUAAUUUUGUAAUCUUGUUGUUUGUGUGGUAACAUAGUGAAGCCGUGUGGGGCUAUUUUCGAUUCACUAUAGUUGAUGCCACUUUGUUGCUCUUGUUGUUGUUAUUGUAAUCUCUAUCAUCUUGUCAUUUUUGUAAACCUUGAAGUCUAGUGAAGCCGUGUGUGGCCUAUUUCGAUUCAUUAGCAUUGUUAUUGUUCAUCUUGUUAUUCUUGUGUUCUUGUGGUGGCUUGAUUCUCUUGAUACACACUCACUUUUGUAUCAUUUGGUAUCAAAUCCAUCUUCGAUUUUGUUUUAACAAGAUCAAUCUUGGGCUUGGGACUUGAAAACUACAAAAAAAAAAAAACUGAAAACUAAAAANNNNNNNNNNNNNNNNNNNNNNNNNNNNNNNNNNNNNNNNNNNNNNNNNNNNNNNNNNNNNNNNNNNNNNNNNNNNNNNNNNNNNNNNNNNNNNNNNNNNNNNNNNNNNNNNNNNNNNNNNNNNNNNNNNNNNNNNNNNNNNNNNNNNNNNNNNNNNNNNNUUGUUAUUGUGUUCUUGUUGUUCUUCACCCUUUUCAUCUUUGUUAAAACAAAAAGUGAACAUUAGAUCCACAAAAGGUGAAACACCAAGUUGUAGUAUUUGUUGAUGAAAGACUUGAUCACAUCACUCAAAAGACUUGACAACCACUUUUCACCUACUUUCCUUGAUUUAAUGACCUUGUUUCAAGGAAAAAGUACCAAGAAGGUCAAGUCUUGUUUUGAACUUGAAAAGCAAGCUUCAAGACCAAAUUUCCCUCCAUUAACCAAUUCCACCAUUUCCAAAUUGUAGAUUGGUCAAGACUUGAAAUUGGAGAGUAAAAUUCUGACAAAAUCGAGGCCAAUAGUGGACUGCCACAUCACUAAAUUACUGUUCACACAAUAUUUUGAGUUCAAAUUUUAGAUUUCUUGGUUUCAUUUUAUUGUUUCUUAGUUUCGUUUGUUGGUUCGAACACUAAUUGACAACCUAGUACAUUCCUACUAGCUUGUUAAUUAGUCCUUUGAAGCUUUGUGUUCGUGUCAAUGUUUGUUUGUGUGCUUUUGUCGUUUGAAUACGUUGUAACUCUUGGCUCUAGUCCGAUGAGAAUUCUUUGAUUUUCCAAAAAAAAAUCCACUCUGGACAAGAGCAUACUCAUAGCUUAAGGAUUCAACUAGCCAAUCUACAACACUUGUGGAGCUCGAGUGUGAGUGAACCAAAAGAUUGUGAGUGAGAAGAGGGAUUUUAACUAACUUGUUUGAUGUUUGCGUAGGUGAUACCUUGACAAUGGAGGGAACCACAUGUCAAACCGUGGAUUCUAAUGAAAUGAAGAAUAUGAGGGUCACUCUUGAAAGAUUGAGUAUGGAAGUGGGAGCCAUAAGGUGAGAAGUGACGACUAUUAGUGGGAGGUUAGAACAAGUGGAGAGUCAAAGGAACUCUCAUCCUUCUAAUCCUCGAAAUGUUUCAUCAAGUGGACAUGAUAGAAAUUCCUCCAUCACCGUUACUCCCGAAACAUGGCCACAAUUGCCAAUUUCUUCACUAGCUUCCCUAAAUGCCGCAAGCCAAACCACUCAUAACAUUCUAAAUCAAGACUCCAAUAGACCAACCCAUUCCCAAAUUCCUCAAGUUUCGCAAGAGGUACUCUGAUGUCAAAUGCCUCCACAAAACCCGAACCCUCCUUUCCAUGCUCCACUAAACCGAAGAACACCACCUCCACAAAAUACAAUUCCUCCGAAUCAAGUUCCAAAUGUCCAAAACCAUCCCAUCCACCUUGAGGAAUAUGGUAGAUGGAAUUAUGAAGGGUAUGGAGCCUUUGACGAUGCCUACAUGAGGGAGGAGGAGAUGAGAGAGGGUUGUGUGGAUCCAAGGAGAUACCGAGGGUAUGGAGAAAGGGGAAGCCAACACCUAGAGAGAGACGUGGGCAUCAAUACCAUCAAAUUAAGUCUACCUAUCUUUAAGGGUGAAAGUGACCCCGAGGUGUAUAUCGCUUGGGAAUCGGCGUGUGACAAGGUAUUCCAAGUGAAUGAUAUUUCAUAGGAUAAGAAGAGUUGUUAUGCCAUAGCCCACUUUGAAGGCUAUGCUAACACUUGGUGGGAUAUAUCAAGCGAUUUGGCAACUCAACCACCACCAUAGUUUCGGUUAAGGUAUCUAAUAAGGCAACGGUACCUUCCCAAAAGUUAUCAUCAUGAGUUGCUUGCAAGGUUGUAAAACUUGAGACAAGGGAAUCAAAGUGUUAUGGAAUACUAUGAUGAGUUUCACCAACUCAUGUUGAAGCUUGACCAUCAGGGAGAACAAAUCGGCCAUGACAUCAUUCGGUUUAAGUGUGGGUUGAAUAAGGAGAUUGCUACUCACUUGACUCUCUAUAAAUUUGAUACCAUUGAAGGCAUCUUUCAAGAGGCCAUUGAAAUUUAAAGAGAACUUAAGAAAAGAACAAGUUACAAAGCCAAAGGUCAAGCACCAUCGGGUUGGCUGAGGGGUAAGGAGGUUGCUUCCUUCAUUACGGGUUGGCACAAAAACAAAGACCAACCAACCACUACAAAGAAACCCGAGUCCAAGGCAAUGCAAAAAUAUCCACCAAGGCAAAAGGCUCACAAGUAUCCUAAUCCUAAGAGGUUCCAAUGUUUCAAGUGCUAAGGUUAGGGACAUAAAGCCAAUAAAUGUCCAAACCGAUGCAAUGUGAUUCUAAGGGAAAGGAUAUUGUAUUACCUUUGUGAGGAAGUGGGUCUUGAAAAUGAAGAUAAUAAGGCCAAGCCUCAAGAUAGAGAGGAACCCAAAAAUGAGCCACAUGAUGAUGAUGAUGAUUGUGAGGAUGCUUAUCCACAAGAAGGGGAGUGUGUGGUUCCAAACUUUGUAGUGAGGCAUGCCAUGAUUAGUAAGGUGAUAGAUGAUCCUAGCCAAUGGGAGAAUCUAUUCCAUACUAAAUGUUUUGUGAAGGUAAGUGUGUGCACUAUGGUGAUAGAUAGUGGAAGUUAUGCGAAUGUGGUUAGUGUUGCAAUGGUAAACUUUUUGAAGUUGCCGACUACACCUCACACUAUUCCUUACAAGUUGCAAUGGUUGAAUGAAUGCGGCGAGUUAAAGGUCACAAUUCAAUUCAUGAUACAUUUUAAGGUAGCCAACUACCAUGACAAGGUGCUUUGUGAUGUGAUACCAAUGCAAGCUUGUCACUUGUUGUUAGGAAGGCCUUGUCAAUACGAUAGGUCGACCAAAUAUGAUGGAAGGUCCAAUCGAUAUACACUUUAUAAAGAUGUGCGAGAGGUCUCUCUUCAUCCAUUAUUGCCUUUCCAAGUGAAUGAAUUACACCAAAAGAUGCGGGAAUUGAGGGAGAAGGGAAAGAAGGACGAGAGUGAGGGGAAAAGAGGAGAAUCUGAGAGUGAGAGAGUAGGAGAAACUGAGGAGAUCCUAAUUUCUAAGGGGUAAGGAAGUGUGGUGAUGAUGGCUAGGAGGAAAGAACUAUUUGUGGAUAAUGACGAGGACACUCCGAUGCUCCUCUUGGCUCAUUAUUUUAAUACUAACCCCACUAACAUUUUUAUUUCUCCUCCUAUUUCUCAUGUUGUGAAGGAUUAUGAAGAUGUCUUCCCAAAGGAAUUACCACAAGAAUUGCCCCCACUUUGGGGAAUUGAGCAUCAAAUAGAUUUUGUGCCGGGUUCCCAAUUGCCCAACAAAUCGGCUUAUAGGAGCAACCCGACGGAUACCAAGGAAUUGCAACGCCAAGUUGAGAAACUCCUCAACAAAGGGUAUAUAAAGGAGAGUAUGAGCCCUUGUGUGGUCCCAGAGCUACUAGUUCCCAAGAAAGAUGGGACUUGGUGUAUCUGUGUUGAUUGUCGAGCCAUCAACAAGAUAAUGAUAAAAUAUCGUCACCCUAUUCCUAGGAUAGAUGAUAUGCUUGAUGAAUUGAAUGUUUCGUGUUUUUUUUGGCUAUCACCAAAUUCAUAUGCAACCGGGUGAUGAAUGGAAAACCGCCUUCAAGACCAAAUUUGGUCUCUAUGAAUGGAUGGUUAUGCCAUUCGGCCUAACAAAUAAUCCAAGUACUUUCAUAAGGCUAAUGAAUCAUAUUAUGAAGACAUUUAUCGGAAAGUUUGUUUUUGUUUACUUUGAUGAUGUGUUGGUGUAUAGUAAGUCCUUAGAUGAGCAUGUAAAGCAUUUACAAUGUGUGUUUGAUGUCCUCCAAAAGAAGAAGUUAUAUGCCAAUCUAGAAAAGUGCUCUUUUAGUGUCCAUGAGGUUGUAUUUCUUGGGUUUGUGGUGAGCUCAAGAGGGGUCGAAGUGGAUGAAUCUAAGAUUGAUGCCAUUAAAAAUUGGCCAACCCCCAAAACCAUCGGUUAAGUGAGAAGCUUCCACGGGUUGGUUAGUUUUUAUAGACGUUUUAUCAAAGGAUUUAGCACCAUUGUCGUACCCUUGACCGAAGUGAUUAAAAAGGAACGACCUUUCAACUGGGGAAAUGAACAAGCUAAGGCCUUCGAGGACUUGAAACCUAUGCUCAUCUCGACCCCUUUUCUACAAUUGCCAAAUUUUGACAAGACUUUUGAGGUUGAAUGUGAUGCUAGAAAAGUCGGCAUAGGUGCGGUUUUAAUGCAAGAAUUGAAGUCUAUUGACUAUAUUAGCGAAAAUCUCAAAGGAGCAACUCUAAACUACUGUACGUAUGAUUUAGAGUUGUAUGCCUUGAUUAAAGCCUUGGCCACUUGGUAAUAUUAUUUGUGGCCUAAAGAAUUCGUGAUCCGAACGGAUCAUGAAUUCUUAAAGCAUCUACGGGAACAAGACAAGGUUAACCAGCGGCAUGCCAAAUGGAUUGAAUUUCUUGAAACUUUCCCUUAUGUUAUUCAUUACAAGAAGGGUAAAGACAAUGUGGUUGCCGAUGCUUUAUCCCGAAAAUAUGUGAUUGUUUCUACUUUGUCAUCUAAGUUGAUGGGGUUUGAAAGCCUUAAGUCUUUAUAUCCCGAGGACCCUCACUUCGCUACUAUCUAUAGGGAAAGUGAAGAGUUGGAUAGGGAUAGGUGGGUUACGGAUAGGGGUUCCCAUCCUUAUACCAAAUUUGAUGGAUGCUUAUUUAAGGGUAGACGAUUGUGUGUUCCCUCAAGUUCGUGGAGAGAAUUGUUUGUGAGGGAAGCACACAAUGAUGGUCUAAUGGGCCAUUUUGGGGUCGAGAAGACCCUCAGAAUUUUGGAAGAACAAUUUUAUUGGCCUAGAAUGUACAAGGAUGUGACCUGGAUUUGCGGACAAUGUGUUGAGUGCAAAGGAGACAAGUCACGGCUCCAACCCCAUGGAUUGUACGCCCCGUUGUCCACCCCUUUGCGUCUUUGGCUUGACAUAACAAUGGACUUCGUGUUAGGAUUACCGAGAACUAAAAGGGGGGGAUAGUAUUUUUGUCAUGGUGGAUUGGUUUUCCAAGAUGGCUCACUUUAUUCGUUGUUUUAAAUGUGAUGAUGCGCCUAGUGUAGCCUCUUUGUUUGUUGAUAAUAUUGUAAAACUUCAUGGUGUUCCAAGGACCAUAGUGGUGAUAGGGAUUCUAAAUUCCUAAGCCACUUGUGGAAGUCCAUGUGGGGUAGGUUCGGUACUAAGUUGUUGUUUUUGACUUCAUGCCACCCACAAACCGAUGGCCAAAUGGAAGUAGUAAGUAGGACCUUAGGGUCUAUGCUAUGGUCCAUGGUUAAGGGAAAAAUGACUUCUUGGCAGGAGCACUUACCGUUGAUUGAGUUUGCUUAUAAUCGUGUUAUACACUUAAGUACGGGGAUGACACCCUUUGACUGUAUAUACGACAUCACCCCCCUUACCCCUUUUGAUUUAACCCCUUUGCCAAGUGAUCUUGUGAUAAGCUUAGAUGGAAGCAAAUGGGCCGAGGCCAUGAAGAAGCUACAUGAGAAGGUGAGGUUGCGAUUGGAGAAGAAAAACCAAGAAGUUGCAAGGCGAACCAACAAAGGAAGAAGAAAACUCAUUCUUGAACCGGGAGAUUGGGUGUGGGUGCACCUAAGGAAGGAUAGAUUCCCAUCUAAAAGGAAUGCUAAGUUGAUGCUGAGGGGUGAUGGCCCGUUCCAAGUAUUAGAAAAGAUCAACGACAAUGCCUAAAAGAUUGAUCUACCCCCAGAAUAUCAAAAGAUUGAUCUACCCCCAAAAUAUCAAGUGCACAACACUUUCAAUGUGUGUGACCUCUCUUGGGUGGAAACGGUGGAGGAUGGCAAUGAUCUGAAUUUGAGGACAAAUUACCUUCAAGAUGGAGAGGAUGAUAUGAGAAUUCCUAGCUCGAGACCUUUCACACGAAGCCAAGCACGUGAGUUGCAAUGACUCCAAGCCUUGUUCAUAUCCUUGGCCUCACAGCCGCUGAGAUUAGAGUAUAAGUGAGAGAGAGACACACAAGACCACGAAGCAUGGUGUCUCGACCCACUGGUAGUGCCCAAGAUCACUUAGAUCGGGAUCCUACCUAUAGUCCCAAUUUGGGAAUGACAUAAAGCCAAGUACUCAAGAUCACUUUUCCUGGUACCAAAUCUCCGUGUCGGCAAACACAUUUUCCAGCGAUGAGCUCUUACACUCAAAUGCCUUCUUCGGGCAUCCACCUAUCUCAUGUAAAAUCAAUGCAUUCAAAUUUUAUCUGUUUCAAUCACAUAUCAUAUUCUAUAGGGUAUCGUCAUACCCGACUUGCAAUCCUUAAUAUCACUUCCACAUAUGCAUAAUUAUGUAAAAACCAAGGUGCUUCAUCAUUUAUAAGUGGUGAACAAUAUUUAUUUCAAAUUCAUGAUCUUUUUUGUUGAUCACAAUAUGAUAUGGGGUAUCAAGACAUUAUAAUGGGAAUUUGAAAACAAUUUAUCAUUCAUAUUUAUCAAACUUCCAUGGAAAAUCUCAAAUCACAUAUGCAUGGUUUCAACCAUUGAAGUAUAUAGGCAAACAAUUCCCAUAACAUAAAGUAAAUGACUUAGAAAUCAUAUUGAAAGCAAGUUAUUAGCAUUUGAUUGAAAACCCCCAUUUUAAAAGCAUGCAUGUUCAUAAAAACUACACCCAUGAGAUUUUAGGAUAACCCCACGUACCUCUAUUUCCAAGGAUAAUAGAUGUUUCUUGAAGCUUGCAGAUUGGUGAUUCCAAAUAUGUAAUUAUCUUCGAAAACCUAUGGUCGAAUCUUCAACUAUUUGGGUUUUUAUUUUGAAACCCUAAGGAGAAUCUUUGAGCACUUUUGAUGAAUAAAGGUGUAUUUUGGGGUCCUUGAAACUGAAUUUCGUGUUUUAGGGCUAAGUAAGGGUGGAAAAGGACCAUUUUGCCCCAAAAACGGAAUGUUUAAGACACUUGAAUUCUUUACAUAGGCUCCACCCAUCCCAUUGCCUAUGUUUACAUAGGCGCCACCUAGGCUAUUGCCUAUGCUUUACAGUGGCCAUGGGCGAUUGGUUAGGCGACACAUAUCACUUUGAAACGCCAUAACUUCUUGCUCGGGUGUUGGAUUCUAGAAAAAUUGGUAUCGUUGGAAAGCUAACUCGAAAACCUAUCAUUUUACACAUAGUAGGCUCCCUAAUUCAAUAUAUAUAUAGAUUUAGGGUCGAUGGAAGCUGACACACUUUACCACGUCCACUAAAACUUAGUCGAUCGAAAUAGUUUUAACUCGUCCUUGAGUUGAAGGACCUCUAUGGUAUAAAUUCAAUCUUGAAUAGAUUCACACGCUACACAAUUAAUUGACAUGCCGUAUUGGUAUAGGAUUUUAUGGCUUUGGGAUUUAUCAACUCAUCGAAAUCAUGGUCUAUAUUGUAGCCCGAAAUGCGGGCCGUUACAUAAAGUAGAUUUUUUAGAAUCAUAUAUUUCUAGCUAAGUUUCUAGAAUAGUCUAGUGUAGUAUUUAGGAUAAUAAAAUGGAAGAAAUAUCUAUAUUUAUAGGUAUUUCUUGGUAGAAGAAUCUAGAAAGUUAUAGUAUAGUCUCUUUGAUAUUUACUUAGUACAAGUCUUGAUAUUCUAGAGUGUUAGAUAUCUGAGGAUGACAUUUGUAGAAUAGGGUAGAAUACUCUAGAUUUGUAGUAUCUAGAAUCAUCCCUACACAACUAUAAAUAGGGUAUGACACUAGGCAUUUGUAACCAACCAAAAUCAAAUCAAUUCAACUAGUCUUCUUCUAUACCCAAGUUUCCAUUCAAUAUCUUACUUCACCUUUCUAGCUUCCUCUUCACCUUUGUAGUUUUCUCUUCUUAGUUGAAUCUUCAGAUCUUAGUUAAUGAUCUUGGGAUAGCAGAAGAUCUCUUUAACUACGCCUUUCUUCUGCUAUUCUCUACAUGGUAUCAGAUCCAUAGCCACACGUUGGCUUCUGAAGUUUAUUUCAAGAUCGGGUUUGUGGUCGAUUCAACUAGUUUGUCCUAAUGGAUUUAAGUGAUCGCGUUAAUGGACUGGGAAUAGAUUUGUUGAAUCAGUCCAAUUACAAGGUAUGGAAGACUUUUCUGGAAUCAUACCUUGUGGGGGAAGAUUUGUAGGAUGUUGUUAAUGGAAGUAACACAAGUCUUCCGAAAGACGGAUCGGAGAAUAGCAGUGCAUACAAAAAGUGGAAGCAGAUUAAUGUGAAGGCGGAGUUCAUUUUGAAGAGGUCCAUCUUCUCAAAUUUAUUUGACCAUAUUAUAAGGUGUAAAUUAGCUCAUGAUAUUUGGAGGACGCUCGAUCAGUUAUUCACUAAGAAGAAUGAAGAUAUUGGAGAAUGAUUUGUCUAACGCCAAUCAAGGUAAUCAUUCUAUUGCCGAGUAUUUCUUGAGGAUUAAAAAUUUAUGUUCUGAGAUCUCCUUAUUAAUUCCGGAUGAGGCUAUCUCUGAAGCACGAAUAAGAAGAAAUAUUAUUUGCGGUUUGAAGCCAGAAUAUAUUCCUUUUGUUACAUCGAUUCAAGGAUGGGCUCAACAACCAUCUUUGGAGGAAUUUGAGAAUUUGUUAUCAUCACAGUAGUUACCAGCCAAACAAUUGUCUAGUGAAUUUGUCAAAGAAAGGGAUGAAAAUGCUCUUGUAGCUCACAAGAGGAACUUUAGAGGAAAGACAAGAUAUAUGCCUCACUCUCGAUUCUCUAGUGGUUCAAGUUCACUUGGAAAGAAGGAAGAGUUUUAUGACAAUUAUGGUAAAAGGCCUCUUAGGAGGCUAGCAUAAUAUAAUAUAUCCGGAUCAGCAAAUCACGGUUUCGAGCAAUGAGUUGUCUGAACUCGUGCCUUCUUCGGGGAACCACCUAAGCUCUCUUUAUGCCGAAUCUUUCAAACAUGCAUUCUAUCUUUUCUGAAUUAUCGUGACAUAAUCUGAAUUGGUGUCGUCACACCAAGACUUGCAAGUCCUAUUUCUGAGCCAUAACGUAUCAUGCAUAAUUCUUUCAUUAAAACACAGUUCAGACCAUCCAAACAUGCAAACAGUAUAAAAGAUUUCAUGUUCCUAAAACACAAGUCAAAACUAUGCCGAGAUUAUUCAAACAUAUGGUGGUCAUGUGUUUUUUUGGCAAACCAUGCUACUCUUUGUUAUAUGCAUAAUCAACAUUUAUCAACAUGCAUAACCCUCUCUUUUUAUUUUGAAAUAAUAUUCAAGUCAUAGCAUAAAUCAAGACAUUUCAUAUCAUACUUUCAAGAUGCAAUUUAGAACAAUGAGAUAAUACAUCGAAACACCCCUAAACUUGUAGCCAAAACUUACUUUAGACCCUAAACUAAUCAGGAAAUUAUAUACUCCCCUUAACAUCUUUCAAGUGAAUUAAUUUCACCCUCUAUGGCUGACGUGGCAAAAAAAAUGAGUGAUUUUUUU